CGCUUGGGGCAAUGACGCAGCUAGUGAGGUAAAAACCGAGGCGCGUCAAUUGCUGGUUGAAAACUAUUUCCAAACCCCCUCUUUGGCCUGGGCUCGCCCCGGUUGCCACUGAGAAUUUCUGGAAGGGCCCCCUCUAAUCCAGGGUAAGGCCCUACAAUUCUUAAUUAGCUAUAAAUGUUUUUUUGAGUUAGUGUUUCUAAUUCCGUUUAAUGUCGAAAAUAAUACUUGAAUUGUUAGAUCAUUCCUGUAAUUUAUCAAAAACCGGGUUGGGGCCUGAUUUUGGCGUCUGAAAUGAUGUAGCAGAAUUUGGACCAAUAAUUUUAGUUGAAUCACAAACGUCCACCCUGUACUAUGGCUACAUUUUGGGCCCAAUAAUUUUAGUUGAAUCACAAACUCCACCAUGUAAUAUGGCUACAUUUUGGGCCCAGUAGAACUUGGGCCAUUUACACUUCGGGCCUAUCACAAAUUUGCUUCAUCUUCAACACUUCCAAGAUUGUCAUAUAUGGCAGGAUCUUUUUAAAAAAGAUGCAGUAUAAUAUAUAUAUUAGUAAACAGCAAAAAUUUCUUUACAACCUUGAAAGAACCUCACAGUUCAAUAUCUAACUUACCUAAGACUUUCAACUAUAUUAUAACAAUUAUCUAAUUAAAAAAUAUAUACAUAAUCCUUCUCCGCAAGGUUGGGCACAUUAAUUCUCCAGCGAGAUGAUUUGCGAUAUAAAAUUACUCGAAUUUUGUGAAGUGGAAAGCAUCCUCCUCGAAAAGAGAGCUUCCGUUUUGAUUCGAUGGUCCUUGUCCAGAGUGUUUUGGGCUUAGGAAGGAUUGCUACUCUCAGCAGCAAAGCCAGAUGCUUCUGCUAGAGCUGAUAGGUCCUGUUCACCGCUAAAAACCUGCAAAAAAAAAAUUACCAAAGAAUAGAAAUUUUGAUGUUACUAUUUAGUACAACAUAGAGUACAACAUAGUUAUUUUGACCUCAUAAAGAUAAUAUAUGCUUGCCGGAUCUAUACCUGAACACUCCGCCAGUAUGAACGCAAACAAUAACAAUUUCGCACGAGAAGAAGUUGAGGCAAUGAAGCAUUCUAUAGUAUACGAAUACCAGAAUAUAAACAACAUCCAAGAAGAAGCGAGCACUGUCAAUCAAUUUCAAUCCAGUAAUAGAUUGGGCAGAACAAAACAUAUAUACAUCGCCUGAUUAUUUUGGAUUGAUUUCAUUUUAAUCUUUAAAUAACUUUAUCCUCGAUAUGCAAAACAUACCAUGAAAAAUUAGUCAUCUUACUCUUUCACCUCAAUUAUUUUCAUACCUCCACGAGAGUUCUCUAACCAAAGCUCCUCUAUUAUAUGAGCAAAUUAUAAAUAAUAAGAACUGUAUUUUGUUUUAUAUCUAUUAAUUUGCAGAGAUAUGAGACCUAUAGCUGAUAUCUACAGGUGAAAGCACAUCAUAAUCAGUUAGGACAAUAUUAUUAGACAUCAAGGAGAAUUAAUCGGAACACUGACGAACAAAAAUAAUUCUUCCUGCAAAUAUUGGAAACUAACCUUAUCUUUGAUGAUCCAUGUUGGGAAGCCUUCAAUCCCAACAGCUGCACAUUCCAAGGCCAUUUUUCUUCCUUUACCAACUCCAUCAGGGAAACACUCAACAUAAUCCAACAUCUUCACAGCUUCACGCCCAAACAUCUGUAUCAACAGAUAAAGAUGAUAAAUAUUGGUUCAUGCUAGUGCUGCAUAUUAUCAGUACUUUUGCAGGGUUAAUUUGAUACUAAUCUAUUCAAUCAAAGUUUUAAAGAUAAAAUAAAGACCAAAGAAACAAAGUGAUAGAUAUUAAGGCAUUUUAUUUUGUUCUGUAUAUACUGCAACAACAACAGAUAUAAGGAAUUCACCUCCUUCUGUUCAUUACAGUGAGAACACCAGAAUGCUCCAUACAUCUUAGCGCCUAUGGUCUUCAGGUGCUUUGCAAGGGAGAUAGCGAAAGGAGUUGAUUCUUUGGUUAUAACAGUCUCGUAUGGCUCCAAGGUAAUUUCCCCUGAGCUGUAUGAAUCAGAUUGGGCAAAAUGUUAAGCAUGUUUUUCUUGUAAGACAAACAUAAACAAACAUGUGAGUAUAGAAAUCUACUGCAUAUGAGUUAAUUAGGCAAGCAAACCAGCUAUGAACGACGAAUGCCUUUACAUAGACUCUAAAACUAUGAAUUUUAAGGUAUACAAAAUAGUACGAUGAAGUUGAUAUUGACAAGGCUAUGUGGAAUUUCCAGGACGAUUAGAAACCUCCAGGUUUUCUUUUAGGGCCUGCUAACCCUGGAGGUUUUGCAGAAGUGUUACUUGAGAAGAGCUAUUGGAAAAAGCAAUAUUAUUAUUAUUAUUAUUAUUAUUAUUAUUAUUAUCUCUCAAUGACUAAUGACUACCCAAUGUCGCUAAAAAUAGAAGCUUCAAAUUGGAGAGUCCGCUUUUAGGGUCUAGAAGCUCAUUUUGGCAAAUCACAACAGCCAAAAAAUUCCAAACUUAUUGUUUGAUGAACACCUAGCUUCUUGUUUGAUCCUAGCGAAGUGUUAAAAAAAAAAAAUAGAAUGGAGGUUGAAUAACUUCCAACUAAAUCAAUCAAUUGAAGUUUGUGUCAACUGAAGCAAAUUACGCAGUGAAAGUUGCUUUAUAUAUGAGAUAAAGAUCUUAUGCCGGCUAAGAAAAGUUUUUUAACAGCAUAAAGCCUGAAACAUAAUUUAAUUGGUCAUGAUGGAAGUUUCUUAACAGCAUAAGAAUUAAUUUGUGUGAAACACAUGAAGAAAAUUUUCAUUUAGGAAUAACAUUUAAAGGGUACUACAGCAUCAAACUAAACAGUUCAAAAAACUGAAAGAGCAGCAAACUUUAUGUGACUUUAGUAUUAAGAACACGAAAGUCUUACCCUGACAACUGAGGAGUAGCUGAUGAAUAUGAGCUUGUUAGAGCAACAAGAAUAACACCGGCAAUUGCUAACUGUAGACCAACCAUUUUUCUUAUUUCUUCCAAACCAAUAUCCUACAACAUAUAAAAGUUGGAUUCAGAUACCUUCUGGUGGUUCUGAAGAGGGAUCCUUUGCUUUAAGAGACUACAUACCUUGACGGUGAGAAGAAAUAAACUAAAAGAGAGAAAAGCCGAUAUGAGACAGUAUGAACAAGAUGUUCCAGCAAACUCCGUGGUCAGAAGGUAAACGAAAUAAGCACUUGCAGUUGCCAUCGAAGUUGUCGUCCCAAGCAAAAUCAAGCGAUUAUUAGUUUCAUCAAUUCCAGGAAGCAAAUUCUUCCGACUCUGUUGUAGAGAAAGUAAUGCAACUAAACCGUACGCAACCAUCCCAAUCAAUGGAAGCGGAACACCUGUAUAGUGGAAAAUGAUAUAUCACGAACCUCGAAAGCAAAUUAAGCAUUAGAUUAGAUCGAAAGAGUGAACAGAAACAAUUCUGUAUCAUCACAGUUGAUCAGCUGCUUCUUUCUAACCAACUUGAUUUGUAGUUUACUCAUAAAAAAAUGAGCAUUUGACUAACAAGGAAUGAAGCCUUAAAAUAAAUGUAACGGUUCCGCGCCUAGUUUUUUUCUUUCAGCUCCAUGCUUCGAGAGUAUAUCACUCGGUGAGUUCAUAAUUUAUACUAAUAACAAAGCAAGCGCAGCGGCAUAACAAACCUCAAAGACAUAAUAUUAUCUAUAACCUAGAGUAAAUUCGGAUUCUUCUGCUCACUAAUUUCAAGGUAUUUUCUCGGUUUAAUCAGCUCAAUGAGCAUCGAACUCGAUUAACCUCAGUGAUACUUUUCACAGUUCCAAAAUCAUGUAGCAUCAGAACUAAGCUUCGCCCACAUCCACCACAAUCAAUAUAAAAUUAGGGCAAUAGGUGGCGGUACCGAAGACGGCGGAGUAGACGCUGUUGAGGACAUCGCCGCAACUGCCGCCGCCGCCGCCGUCGCCGACGGGGCAAAACGCCUCAGAAUUGGAGAGCUUCAGGUAAGUAAGAUAACCGGUCUCGAGGAAGCCCAAGGAUGCGAGACCCGCCGACCAAGUGGAUGUGGAAAUGCCCCUGAGAGGAGAGCCCUUCUUGUGCUCCUCCACAUCCACCUCGGGAGAAGGCCCCGCGCGGCACUUGAAGUGCACUCGCGCCCCCUCCUGUACAGCAACCACCACCGCAGCACGUAAAUUAGAUAACAACAGUAAUAAUAGUGAGAAAAAUUAGGAAAAAUGCAAUCGAACGCGAUUGAAUCGGAGCGCGAAACCAUAAAGCGCGGUGGGGGGAAGCGGGGGAUGGAGAGGGUGGAGGAGAUGCUCGCCAUCGCCAUUAGCAGCUGCUGCUUCGCUCCUUUGCUCUUCUUCCCCUUCGCCUCUCUCUCUCUCUCUCUCUCUCUCUCUCUUCCGGGGUCUCUGUUUUAACGGUCCAUGGAUUCCCAUCUGAGCCGCGACUCGGACGACACGAAUCGGGGUGGGUUCGGGUUUGGUUCGGAUCCGGCGCCGCCACACCUAGCCCAACUGCCCAAGGGAGCGAAUCGUUCUCGAGUCUAAAUAAGGCCCAUUAGGCCUAUUUAUUUUUAAAUACGUUGGGCCUGAUGGCCCCUUUUUGUUCAUAGGCUCUCUUGGUAACAGGUUGGCCCAAUUAACUUUGUGUCUACAAUCUGGACUCUGGAGGAAGGUAGUCCCUAACUCUUCUUUUCUUUUCUUUUUUUUUCUUUUAAAAACCUUUAAUUUCUUUAUUGACAUCUGCUCACCUUCUAAUUAUUCCGAUUUGAAUAAAUCAAGUCAUCUAAAUUAGAGAUUUGCUAGCAAUUUUGCUAAUAGUUAAUGGCACCUGCAAAUCCAUUUUGCUAGCACAAAAGCCAUUUUAAUUUAAUAGAAUCAUUGAUAAAGUUAACAAGAUCCACAAUAAUAUAACGAAUAAAAAAAUCUUAAAACCGACUGUCCCUAGAUCAAGUGGCAAAGGGUUUUGUGGUUGGUACCCGAAACCCAAGUUCGAAUUCUAGUUGAUUCACAUUUCUAGCUAAGUUUAUUUCUAAAUGAAAUAAACGAAGCGGGUAGCGUGCUAUCUAUUUCUCAAAAAAAAUAAAAAAAUCUUAAAUCAAAGAGAUUAGAGGCUGGAAACAUGUCAAAAUAAAGUUAAAGGGUUCAAUUUUACCUAAAUAUUUGCUUUUUAUUAGAAAUUUGGAAUUUACAAGAAAGAUGCUACAUAAACCCACAAUUUCAUUCGCCCGCUGGUAAACUGCAGUUUACUCAAAUUUCAUUCGCCAGCUGGUAAACUGCAGUUUUGAGUAAACUGCUACAUGCUACUGCAAUUGUUAAUUAGUAGACCCAAAUCAUGUAAUCACAUAUAAUAAAACUAUCAAAUGGACAUGUGAAAUAGCAUACUAAUACUAACUUCCUCGGUUCUACUCUAUUAAAACCCAAAUUAAUGUACGAGUUUAAGGUACUAGCUAGCGAGCCUAAUGAUAUAUUUAAUAAAUAUCUUUUUUUUCAUUUAUUCUUUUAUCGUGUGCUUAACUUUAAACUUUGAAACAUAAAAAAUAUGCAUACUACUCAGUUAUCAUCUCAGAGAAAACUAUAGUUUUGAGCAAGCCCUCCUCUUUCUCUGUUUUCUUUUUUUUCGUUUUUUUUUUUUUUGGUUGGUAAUUUGAGAAAACCCUUUUUUUAGUGCAGAUUAUUUUAUCGCACUCUAAAUUAUCUAAGAAAAACUCUAAUUCACAGCACGUCAGGUGAUCCAACCCAAUAAUCGCAUCGCUACGCAAGUUGAUUGCACGUAUAGCUAAGGGAGAAAGCAUUGUCUGAACCUGGAAUACCACGUCAGCAGUAGACCGCUAAACCAAUGCAACUAUUCAUUUCAUUCGCUUCUUCAAUUCUAAUUGUUUUAAAAGAGAAUAACCCGUAAUUUCAAAUAAGAAAAAGUUAUUUGAUGGUGGUUUCUUUAGAUUGCUUGGGUAGUUUACGGCUCACAAAUUGAACCAGGUUCAGGGAAUAAAUUUUCAGGCGAGUUGUUAGGCAAUAUUUUGGUAGAAAUUGUAUUGAUUAAGAUAAUUAUUCAAGCAUAGCCAUCAUCUUUAUGCAUAAAUAAUUUUAAAAUAUCUUAAAAUAAAAAAAUAAAAUUAAAAGUCUCAUAACAUGCUAGCAUGAUCUUAGAUCUGGGACUGGAAGAGUCUAACCACCUGCGCGCACCUCGUGAAUCUAAUCAUAUUUUGACCCAUUGUAGUUCGAAUUUGUGACUAUAGUAGUUGAAAUGGGUGCACCACAUCACGCAAUGCACCGCCUACUGGAUUUGCCAUAUCACAGGCCGGCUAAAGUAAAUAUUAAAUAAUAAAUAUAUUAAAGACGGUGGGCUGAAUCAGUUAUCCCCGCUUUAAUUCGUUCCUGUCAUAUUCUCGUUUUCCCAAUUUAAAAAUAUAUCCUCUACAAAAGAUUCCUCAUAAAAAGAAAGGAAUCGCUAACAAAUGGAUGAAAAGUGUAGUAUUCUCCAUUACGUGCAUGCAUGCCAUCAUUCUUAUAAUAAUAAUUAAUAUAUCAAAAAGGCAUUUAAAAUUGUAUAUAUCUCACAUUGACUUUUUGUUAGAAAAAUCACUACCCAAGAUGCGCAUAAGCUCUUCGAUCUCAAAGCUAUAAAUACGAACCCCGACAUGCACCACUUGCUAUAUCCACCCAGCAAUAUUCAUCUCUUCUAGCUUAUUUUCACUCAGAAACCUUUCCUUUGUAGCAUUCGUUCCCAUAGAAGCUACGUAACCAUGAAAUAUUUCCUGGUUCUUUUGGUUGCGCUAACAAGCUGCUUCUUCUAUGGACGUGUUAAUGCCGGAACAGCUGCGUGCGCGAACACCUACUCGAAUUGCUAUGGAAUUUCAUUCAAUUGCCCGCAGGGUUGUCCUAAUCAAUGCGAGGUGGACUGCAACACAUGCAAGCCUUAUUGUCGUAAGUCUCUCUUUUCCCUCCCCCUAAUUAAUCUACUUUGUUUUCUAAAUAAGAAAAUAAAUUCAUUAUGUAUAUGUGAAUGCAUACUAUUCUAUGUUUAUGGAGUACUCCAUCCAUGCUUGGGCACACAAUUUAAUGCAGGUUCAUCACAAACUUCUCUUCUUCAGUAUCAUAAUUUAUUAGGUUAAUUAAGAACCUAUAUAUAUAUAUAUAUAGAAAGAGAGAGAGUUGAGCUAAAAUACUCUCAAAAGCAUCAUGAAUGUGGUACUUUUGAGUUUUUAACUAUUGAAUGGAUAGAUGUGAGGUUGAGAUGAUGGUGGUAGGUGGAAUAGUAUUUGAUCCAAAAGCUAUAAAUAAUCAAGGAGUAGAUUCAAGGACUAUAAACUUAGAAGCACCAAGGGUUUAGUGCUUCUAAAAGUAUUCUAACUCAAUUUUAUAUAUAUAUAUAUAGUUCUUAGAUUAACAGUGGUGCAUUAUUGUCCAAUGUGUGUCUGAACACUAAAAUUUUAACUUACUAUCUAAUAAUGCAGUUAUUUUGAUUAAGCACUUAUAAGCCUGUACUAAUCGGUAUUUUUAAGUUUUUUAUGAAAUAUUUAAUGGUAAUUGUUAAAUUCCUACUCAAUUGGUGGACUAUAAUUAGCUAGAAAGAGAAAUGAUAGUAGCUGGAACUCGAAAGAGUAGAUAGAUUAGAUAGCAGAAUUAAAUUCAUAAUGAUAAUUAUUAAGAUACUUAUUGUAAAUUGCACUAUGUAUAUAUAUGUCUGGUAGGAUCCGAGCUUCUUCUUUUUUGUUUUUUGUUUUUCCUUCUUAUUUAUCGAGUUACAUGCAUGUAAAAUCUUGGUUGUGCACAUACGUUCAUCGAUCAGCUUGCGAUAAGCCGGGAGCGGUGUGCCACGACCCGCGCUUCAUCGGUGGAGACGGCAUCAAGUUCUACUUCCACGGAAAGAAAAACAAGGACUUCUGCCUCGUCACCGAUUCCGACAUCCACGUCAACGCGCAUUUCAUUGGAAAGCAAGGCAAGGGGAGGGACUUCACCUGGGUCCAGUCCAUCGGCAUCUUGUUCGGCUCGCAGCAGUUCUACGUCGGUGCGAGAAAGGUCGCGACCUGGCACGGAUCCGACGACAACAUGCACGUGCAAUUCAAUGGAGCAGACAUCAACAUCCCGUCGGGCGACGGCGAGAUGUGGACGUCGCCGGAGGGCGACUUGCAGAUCAAACGUGUUGGGGAGACGAACUCGAUUGUGGCCGAAGUGGUGGGCGUGGUGAAGAUCGGAGUGAGAGUGGUGCCCAUCACCGAAGAAGAAUCGAGAAUUCAUGGGUACGGCAUUACGGAGGACGACUGCUUUGCUCAUCUGGAGCUCAGCUUCAAGUUCAGUUCACUGAGCAACUCGGUGAGCGGGGUUUUGGGGCAGACCUACGUGCCGGGUUAUCGCAGUCCAGUUAAGAUCGGCGUCCCGAUGCCGGUCAUGGGUGGCGCGGAGAAGUACUCGACCUCGCAUCUGUUUGCGACGGACUGCGCCGUCUCAAAGUUCGGGCUCAAGAGGGAGGGUGCUGAGAUUGAGGAUCCGCCGACGGUUGCUUGCGGAGCUCAAGAUGGAAUUCAGGGGAUUGUUUGCAAGAGGUGAAAGAGACAGAGAGAUACAGAGAGGAAGAUGACCGGGAAGAGUGAUUUUGCUUUGCAUUAAUAUUUCAUGUGCGUGUGUGUGUGGUAUUUAGUGAUAAAUAAUCUCUGGUUCCUUUGUUGCUGCUCUCCAGCUUUGUUGCUUGGGGGUUUUCGUUUAUUCUGUAUCUGCUAUCAUUUUGUUUUCCUCAUGUAUUCCUCUAUAAUAUUUCUCUUAAUAUAAUUAAUGAAUAGAUCUAUUGCCUAUUCUUUUCAAAAUAAAAGAACUUCUGUCGCAGUAACUUUUUUUGUGAAAGAUGUUCCGGUCAUAUUAUAGUUCUGCAAUUUGGGCAUAGGAAAAUUCCUUGAUUAUUCUGUGAUGUUGUUGUCUUUUUUCAUGUUGCAUUAAGUUAUUGGAUAAAAAAUAGGUUAAAUUAUAUAAAAAAAACUUCUAUUAAAAUCUGAUUUUUCACUUUGGAUCCCGCCGUCCGUGUUCUGUUAGGAUUCCGUCUAUUUCUCAUUAUUAUAUUUUUUUUUAUGCCGAAAAUAUCCUUCUAUAAAUAAAGAAGGGUUGGGGGAGGAGAGGAAAAAUGAGAGGGCAUUUUGGUUAUUUUAUCAAUACUAUUAACAUCGUACCUCCUGUGAAUAUUUUUCAUUUUUAGAGGGGCAAAGUGUAGGUUUUUAAAUGACAGAAAGAGAAAGUGAAAAAUCGGCAACCGAUAAUCAGUUCAGCUUACGUAGUCAAAUAGAAAGAUGACACAUGGUAUAUUAAGAGCCGAAAAAAAGGAGUUCAAAAGUAAAUGAAUUACACAUGGUAUAUUAAGAGCCGAAAAAAAGGAGUUCAAAAGAUGACACGGUAUAUUAAGAGUGGUCCAUCGUCAUUAACCGUGUCAACUCGAGAAUAGAAGGCUGGAAAGCAAAGCUUCUCUCUCAAAGGGGUAGACUCACCCUUGUCAACUCUGUCCUCGCUAGUCUGCCUCUACUCUACCUUUCUAUUUUUAAAGCACCUCAGUGGGUACUGCAACGAAUUGAAGCUCUGCGGAGGGCCUUCUUCUGGAAAGGCGGCACCAAAAUCACUGGGGGUGGUUGCCUUGUUAACUGGAAAUCUAUCUGUAAGAGCAAGAAAGAAGGAGGGUUAGGAGUCAAGGAAUUGGGCGCGAUGAAUACGGCACUACUAUCCAAAUGGUGGUGGCGCUUCUUCACCGAGAGAAGCCUGCUCUGGAAUAAGUUAAUCAGAACUCUUUAUUACAUCAAACGUAGGCCUUUACACGAGGGUUGAACUUUUGCACCCUAUUCGCAAUGGUGGAGAGGUGUGCUGCACUGUCGCGAUAUUUUCAAAUGCAGUGUAAGCUACGAGUUCGGUGAUGGCAACAACAUCAGGAUAUGGUUAGACAUUUGGAUAGGGGAAAUCCCCUUACGCACCUUAUUCCCAAAUAUCUUUGACCACGCAAGAAAUAAAGAUGCCAGAGUAGCUCAAUGUUGGAAUAUGAACGGUUGGAGGUGGCGUUUUUUUUGUCGUGGCGAUCGGGGGCUCUCUUUAGCAGAACGUCGCAGACAGCUGACGCUUUUGAAGAAUCUGCUCGUGCUCUUUAGUCCAAGUUCCAUACCGGACACGAUCAAAUAGCGUUGGACGGCAAACCAACAAUUCUCCGUCAAAUCCCUUUACCAAUUCCUCACUGACAGCGGAUUAAGAGAUUUAAUGAAUUUAUUUAUCUGGAAAAUCAAAAUUCCAGUCAAGAUUAAAGUGUUCUUAUGGCUACUCCUGUAAAAGAGAAUCUUGAUUGUAGAUCGUUUACAUAAACGCGGAUGGCUAGCGGAACAAUUUUGCAUUCUCUGUGCCGCUAGUACGGAAAGCUCAUCACCUAAUAAGCUCCUGCGUGUUUGUUCGCUUCCUCCUCAUUCAAGUUGAAGUACCGGAUUUUUUGAUAGAGCCAGCGACGGAGGCGAGAGAACUUUGGACAAGAUCAGUCAGCCUAGUAGAUGCCCAGAAGAGACUUGAAUCUCUAACUCUAAUGUCUGCUAUUUGGUGGUUGUUUGGACUCAGAGGAAUGACAGUCUUUUUGGCGCAAAGCCCCCCAACACUACCCGAGCACUAGAACGUGUUAGACACCUGCUGACAUCCUGGACCACGUGACUCUGAGCGUUUGGUGUCCUCCUUUUUUUUCGGGUUGACUUUCUUGUUUUUUCCUCUUCUGUUUUUUCAUUUUUUGCUGACUUAGCUUCCUUUUUCUCUCUUUUUUUUCCUCCAGAGACCUCGGCUGCCUCCAUUAUGUAAGCCUAAUUCAUUUUCCUAAUAAAUGAAACAGGUAGCUUGCUAUCUAUUUCUAAAAAAAAAAAAAAUAAAUGGAUUUUGAACAGCACUUUCCGUAAAGUGACAACUGUCCAACAACUGCAGGUUAACUGAAAUUUGAUAGUAAGUUUAUAAAUAGCGACGUCGCAAAGAUAUUUUCCUAUACCGAAGACCAUUAUUAUUAUUAUUAUUUUUUCAUUCUCAACAUUUAUAAUUUUUUCUAGGAGUAGCCAGUGUUAGAAUGUAGUCUUUAGUUUUAGCCAAAAAAUCAAGGUCAUAGAAAUUUUGUAGCAUUUUCGAAAGGAUUAUACGAGAGUUUUGCUUCAAUAUGCGGAAACUAGGUGAAAUUUAAGCAGUCAAAAAACUACAAUCCUGAAACUGAGCUGCUACGGAGAUUUUGCAUGGAAACGCUGCCUCUCUACACGAAGAUUCAAUUUUGCUUCAGUUUUACCCCAAGAGCACAUAUCCUUCAUCAGAAUUGAGAGCUUAAUUUCUUCACUAUCCUCAAAUCUCUUGGCCGUGUUUCGAUCCAAAAUAUCUAUAACAGCUAAUUUUCAAGAUUGGAUUGCCUUUUCUCUUCAAUAUCUCACCAAAUUUCCAUACAAAAAAGAAAUCACAAUGCCUGGAAAAGAAAAAGAAAAAAAAAGCUGAGAGUUUCUAUGAACAACAAAUGUAGGAUGACAAAGAAACAAUCCAUCAAAUGAUGCCACUAUUGUUGUUCUGACAAGGGAAAACCUGUUGAACAUUAAUUUGGGCUUGUACAUGUGGGUUCUUGGGAAAUUAUUUUUCCGACUAUCUAACACAAAUUAUAUCCUCUCUGUGGUCCACAGAUAAAUGUGAGAUCUUUCAAAUAAUGUUCCCUUAUGUAUUUAGACUUAGUUUGGUAUUGAGGUGGAUCCAACGCUGUUAGAUAAAAUGGAGUUAAGAAAAAACAUAUAGAAAUAUGCUUCUGCGUUCUCCGAUGAGACCGUAGAAAAUAUAUCGUAACCGACUAAUCACAAUAUGCAGAAUGCAAUAUUACAUACGGAAAUAAAUAGGGUAUUUUUCUAUCGUUAUUUCUCACCCCACAUAAUAUAAUCUUCUCGCAAUCCCAAAUGAAGCAUUAAUUGAAAUAUAUUAAUUCUGCACCUGUGUUUUGUACCCAUUUUAUUCUAUCAAUCAAUUGUUCUUUUUUUUUUAAUGCAUUAAACAAGUAUAUAUUCUUUGUCAAAGAUUUUGACUUGUUUUUUUCUUUUUUCGUGUUACGACAAACGCACAAACGGAAACGAAAUGACAAACACAAAAAUAAUCAAACCACAAGUAGAAAAUAAAGAAACACAGAUUUACGUGAAAAACCCUUUGCAGGGAAAAAACUACGGGCGAGAGAGGAGAGAACUUCACUAUGAAACGAAAAAGGAAAUACAAUGUUUUUCAAAUUACAACCGACCAUGAUCACACCUCUACGGGCUCGGACCUGUCGGCCCGAGCCCUCCGCUACCCACCACAGACAUUCAUUUUUCCUCCAUAAUUUUCUUUUCCAAAUUGGUCGCACCGCGAAGCUGUCGGCGAGUCGUAAACCCGAACCUGAAUCGAUAGUAGAUUUCGAGUCAUAUCUAACAUUUCGAGAGAGAGAUAGAUAGCAUGCUAUCUGUUUUAUUUAUUUUAUUUAGAAAUAAACUUAGUUAGAAAUGUGACUCAAUUAGGAUUCGACCUUGAGAUCUCGGGUGCCAACAACCAAGCCCUUUGCCACUUGCGCUAGGGACGGUCGGUUUCUACUAGUUAAACUCGUUUAAGUUUUCACAUGACCAGAUAGACAAUCUUGUGUAUUGAUUCCUAAGUAUCCAAAUAUAUCAUAUAAGUAGAUUCUUGACAACCUUAUUAAUUUGUGCUAAAAUAUAUUGAUGAUCAUUCUUAUGUCCGGGGUAAUAUUCUUGCAAAGGUGAUAAAUAUAUUUGUCUACUGGUUUUCUUCACCACACACGCAUAUGUAUGUAGACACAUUUAUGUGUGUAUAUGCAUGUAUUGGAUUGUUCGCAAAUUACUUUGUCGCAUAUGUAUAUAUGAUAAAUGCAAUAACAUUAUACAGAACAAGUAAAGGGAGUUCCCAUGUCCAAAUUGUUGAAUUGCAAUGCGACUGGAUCAUCUUUCAUUUAAAAAAAAAAAAGAAAAAAAAAGUGAAAGAAAGACUGGAAUUGAAUUUCUUUAUUUCAGUAAUUAUAUUAAAAGAAGCAAGGAAUACAUAACAUAAAGAUAAACCCCGCAGCAACAAAGCUGGAGAGCAGCAACAAAGGAAACAGAGAUUGUUUACAACUAUAAAAAUACCACUCACACACACACACACACACACACACACACACACGCACACGAAAUAUUAAUGCAAAGCAAAAUCACUCUUCCUGGUCAUCUUCCUCUCUGUAUCUCUCUGUCUCUUUCACCUCUUGCAGACAAUCCCCUGAAUUCCAUCUUGAGCUCCACAAGCAACCGUCGGCGGAUCCUCAAUCUCAGCACCCUCCCUCUUGAGCCCGAACUUCGAGACGGCACAGUCCGUCGCAAACAGAUGCGAGGUCGAGUACUUCUCCGCACCACCCAUGACCGGCAUCGGGACGCCGAUCUUAACUGGACUGCGAUAACCCGGCACGUAGGUCUGGCCCAGAACCCCGCUCACCGAGUUGCUCAGUGAACUGAACUUGAAGCUGAGCUCCAGAUGAGCAAAGCAGUCGUCCUCCGUAAUGCCGUACCCAUGAAUUCUCGAUUCUUCUUCGGUGAUGGGCACCACUCUCACUCCGAUCUUCACCACGCCCACCACUUCAGCCACGAUCGAGUUCGUCUCCCCAACACGUUUGAUCUGCAAGUCGCCCUCCGGCGACGUCCACAUCUCGCCGUCGCCCGACGGGAUGUUGAUGUCUGCUCCAUUGAAUUGCACGUGCAUGUUGUCGUCGGAUCCGUGCCAGGUCGCGACCUUUCUUGCGCCAACGUAGAACUGCUGCGAGCCGAACAAGACGCCAAUGGACUGGACCCAGGUGAAGUCCCUCCCCUUGCCUUGCUUUCCAAUGAAAUGCGCGUUGACAUGGAUGUCGGAAUCGGUGACGAGGCAGAAGUCCUUGUUUUUCUUUCCGUGGAAGUAGAACUUGAUGCCGUCUCCACCGAUGAAGCGCGGGUCAUGGCACACCGCUCCCGGCUUAUCGCAAGCUGAUCAUGUACGUGCACAACCAAGAUUUUACAUGCAUGUAACUCGAUAAAUAAAUAAGAAGGAAAAAAAAAAACAAAAAAAAAAAAAGCCCGGAUCCUACCGAAAAUAUAGAUAGUGCAAUUUACAGUAAGUAUCUCUUUCUAAUUAGAUAUUCUACCAACUCGGAUAUUACAAUAAAAAACUUAAAAAUACAGAUUAGUGCCGGCUUAUAAGUGCUUAAUAAUAAUAACUGCAUUAUUAGGUAGUAAGUUAAAAUUUUAGUGUUCAGCACUCAUUGGACAAUGCACCACUGUUCAGCUAAGAACUAUAUAUACAUAUAGGUUCUUAAUUAACCUAAUAAGUUGUGAUACUGAAGAAGAGAAGUUUGUGAUUAACCCGCAUUAAAUUGUGUGCUCAUGCAUGGAUGGAGUACUCCAUAAACAUAGAAUAGUAUGCAUUCACAUAUACAUAAUGAAUUUAUUUUCUUAUUUAGAAAACAAAGUAGAUUAAUUAGGGGGAGGGAAAAGAGAGACUUACGACAAUAAGGCUUGCAUGUGUUGCAGUCCACCUCGCAUUGGUUAGGACAACCCUGCGGGCAAUUGAAUAAUUUUCCAUAGCAAUACGAGUAGGUGUUCAUGCACUUUGCUGUUCCGGCAUUAACAUGUCCACAGAAGAAGCAGCUUAUUAGCGCAACCAAAAGAACCUGCAGGAAAUAUUUCAUGGUUACGUAGCUUCUCUGGGAACAAAAGCUAUAAAAGGAAAGGUGUCUGAGCGAAAAUAAAGCUAGAAGAGAUGAAUAUUGCUGGGUGGAUAUAGCUAGUGGUGCAUGUAGGGGUUCGUAUUUAUAGCUUUGAGAUCGAAGAGCUUAUGUGCAUCUUGGGUAGUGAUUUUUUAUUGUACUAUCGGUAUGAGACAUGUAAUUUUAAAUGUCUCUCGCUCUCUUUAUAAUUUUAUUAUCAUGAUGAUUGCGCUAGAAAGUGCUUGCCCAUUGUUCUUUUAUUGGGGCUUGUUUUCUUUCUUUUUUGCGGGGGAAGAAUCAUUGGAAGGAUACAGUAAUUAAUUAAUUAAGCAGAGAAGGUGGUAGGAUCAAAGGAAAAAGUCCACCACUGAUUUCGAACCUUUAUUCCAUAUAAUCUUAUCAAUCCAAUCAUAAAAUAAAAUAAAAAUUUAAUCAGACCCAAGCAUUUUCUUUUCUCAGGGGUCUUUGGUCACCCUAGAUUUUUCUUUUUUAUUUAGUAUAGACUUUGUGUAGGUUUACUCACCCUUUCUCUUUGCGUUCUUUUCUUUCUUUUCAAGAGGCCUAGCUGCCUAGCUCAAUCUGUUGUAAGUAAAUUCAUUUAUCUGAUGAAUAAAGAGAUAGCAUGUUAUAUUUUCUCAAGAAAAAAAAACUAAUCAGGAAAUUUCUACAAUUUAAUUAUUGGGUGACUAGGAUCGAAUAAUUAACGAGAUGGAAUCCAGCGCAAGUGAAUCGCAUAGGAACAAAAUUAGUACUGGUGCAUGUGAAUGGUGAAAAAAAAUUAGAUUGUAAUACAAAUAAAAUAAGUAAUCAGUGACUUAGAUUAAAUUUCAAACUUCGAUUUCUCAAAACAGGUUCUUUACUUGAGCUGAACUUUAGUUAUGAUAGAUCCACUAUAUAUACGUGGAUUAAAUGAUUUGGUGCAUGCAACCGUUCUGUUAGUAAACUCUCCACAUUUGAACAAAUUAUUGGUCUGAAUAUAGUAGGUUCAGGAGAUGCAGGUGAUUAAAACUAGGACUCUUAGAUUGAUCAUAUCGUGCAUUUAGGUUUUAGUUGUUGAAAAUUAAAAGUAUCCUCUUUUCAAGCAUUUGAAUUAAAAAAAAAGUAAAUAAUAUUAAGGAUAGAUUGCUAAUUGGUCCACUGCCAUGUGACGGACUAAUUUUAAAAAUCGUUUCCCAUUCAACUCGACGUGCGAUCAACUUAGAGACGCUCCUGCAUAACUUGACGUGCACUAAGAAGAGAAAAAAAAUUUUCCAAAAAAGAAAAAAAGAGUUGUCGGUGCACGAAAAAAAAAACAAAGAAAGAAGAAGAAGUGGAUAGCUGAGUUGUGGAGACACGUAGAGUUAAAAAAUUUUGCCAGAUUAUUCGAAUGUCUUGGUUUGAAAGUUUUAAGUACUUUAGCCUGAUAUUAAGGAAUAACAAAGAAUAGGAACUCAACGUAUAUAGAUCAUUGAUUAGAACCAUUUAGUUGCUUAAACUCGUGGGCUAUAAUGCAACGGAUGAAUUUAUUAUUAGUAUGCCCCUUUCGUAGUAUAUAUAACAUGUGCAAUGUGAUAAUUACAUGAUUUGGGGUACUAAUUAACUAACAAUUGCAGUAGUCCUAUAGUAGUUUACUUAAAAGAGAACUACGGCUGCAUAAAUAAAUGAUAAAUAUGGCAAUUGAAUCUAUGACCUUGCAGAAUAUUCGGAACUUAAGAUUAACUUAAAUACCAUAACACUCAAAAACUUAAGAUCAGCUCUGAUAUGUAAGAAGAUCAAUCCCAGUUACUCUAAUCAUUAAUAUGCAUGGUAGAAGUCGGGCAAACCAUGCUAUUUUUAUUAAAACAAGAUGUAAUGUGCCAUCGACUACUGACGAAUGUAUAGGAAUUUAAUCGAGAGUUUUUAGGAAUGGAAAAGGUUUAGUACCGACUCUAAUAUUAUGUUAAAAGAUUAAUAGACUUGAACAAUAAAAUAUUUAUGAUAUUUUAUAUUUAAAUAUUUUUCUCACGUUGGCUCGAGAUUUUUUAUUGGCUUAGAUAAACUUCACUUAAUAUGGAAAUAAUUAAAUUAAAUUGAAAGUGUGACGAGAUUCAAACAUAACAUUCUAAUUUGAUGAAGUUGGCAAUUCCUUCUCUUCUUUCCCUUCUCGAGAGUAAAAAGAGUUGUUGAUGCCAUUGCGGAAUAUUCUCGAACAUUUUUUUUUUUUUUUUGAGAGAGAUAAAUAACACGCUAUCCACCUCGUUUAUUUUAUUUAGAAAUAAACUAAGCUGGAAAUAUGAAUCAACUAGGAUUCGAACUUGGGUCUGGAAUACCAACUAAAAUAUCCUCAAACAGUUGAUCUACCUACAUGUGCGGUGGGAUUUCGGAUUAUAUGCAUAUAUAGGCUAAUAGUCCCACAUCGGCUGCUUAAGUUUGUGGUGCCCUAUAAACUAUCUUUAAAAGGAGAGGCCCGGUGACCGAAAAAAGCAUCUUUGCGCUUGGGGCAAUGACGCAGCUGGGGAGGUGAAAACCGAAGCGCGUCAAUUGCUGGUUGAAAACUAUUUCCAAACCCCCUCUUUGGCCCUGGGCUCGCCCCGGUUGCCACUGAGAAUUUCUGGAAGGGCCCCCUCUAACCAGGGUAAAGGCCCUCCAAGUUUGAACUUCAAAAUUUCUUUGAUAAAAAUUUACUUUUUUGGAGGUCACUUGUAAGUAAUCCAAUCAUUGGGCGUAACGUAAACCAAUAUUAGGUUUGAAAAAUCAAAUUUUGUGAGUGGGGUGGCCCACUUCUUAGGCCCACGGUCACCAUUUCUAAUAUGAAACCUCCCUGCCCCCCUAUCACGUACAUAAUAUUUUUUUAAAGAGAGAGAUAAUAAGCUGUACAUAAUAAUUUUUUGAAGAGAUAUAUAGAUAGUAUGCUGUCCGUUUCGUUAAUUUUAUUUAAAAAUAAAUUAGUUAAAAAUAUAAAUCAAUUAGGAUUCAAAUUUGGAAACUCGGAUACCAAUCAUGUAGUUUUUUAUUUUUUGUCAUUUGCAUCAGAAACUAUUGGUAUCACACAGAGGAUAUGAACAGUGAUUGUUGACCGUUUAUCAUUUCUGCCAAUAUAAUUGCAUGGCAAGUGCAAAAAAUAACAGUUGGCCGCCUCGUACACGCAGGUAUACUUUUAAUUUGCAUGUUGCAGUCCCAGCCAGGAAAAAGGUUUUUAUUUGCACUACUUUUAACACUUCAUUUCAUUUAAGUUACAUCAACAUUUAUGAACCUGGUCUACGCUCAAUUUUAAUUCAAAAAAUAAUAGUGCCAAUUCUUCAAUAUCUAAAAAGUAAAAAACUGCAUCAAACUUCCCUCAGUAGUAACCAUCUUAUUGCUUCUUUUAAUUUAAAUUUAGUUCUAUUAAAUGAGUCUCGGAUAUAUAUUAUUAAAUGUAACUAUUAAUUCAGUUAAAUUUAAUUAAUGAUUCUACUUACUUUUUUUUGUUUGAUAAGACUGCAGCUUUGUUUAUAAGUUAACACAUAGCUAGAAGCUUAUGGAGCUAGCUACCAAUUUUCACGGAAUAUUUCUCAUUCACCUAACAAAACAAGUAAAAUUAAGAGGUCAUAGGCAAAAAAUUAAAAAUAAGUUGAACCAUCUAUUUUAAAAUAUAUAUUUGGCCUACUACCUUAUCUUAAAUUGGUAGUCCACAAAUCAUCCAGUUAGUGGUUUGCAUGUCCUCUGUGGCAGCAUCUUGUGGAUAUACACUGUGACCGGCAACGUGCAAUGUCAAAUGAUGCUACUAUCAACAAUGUGUACGUACUAGCUAGUUUAUUAAGCAACUGUGUGGUAUAAAACUAAAGCCUAAGUAUUUGAAUAAUUUAGCCUUAGUUAAACGGUUUGCUCAUGCUUGUAAUGAGAAUUGAGAAAAGCAUUUGUACGUACUAGCUAGGCUGCUUUUACUGAAUCAAACAUGCACAUGGAUUGAGAAGUCUAAAUUUUAGAUGAUGUGGUAAAGUAGCUUAUUAUUGGAAUCUAUUAUCUCAAAAAUGCACGCUAGCAGGAUGGCCUCUCCUGCUUCUUCAUUUUCUCGACAUUGUUGUGAUAGCACGCCCAAUAUAUAUGGCAGAACUUGCAUUGAGAACUCAAGCGAUAUAUGUCGCUGCCGCCCGUCUAAGCAAAGUAAUCUCUAAUACACAUUCGAUGGCUUAAUGUACAUUUAUCAUCUUUAAAGUACAAUUUAUUUGUAAUUGACCGGCCCCUUCUUUAAUAUAAAAAUAUAAUUAUUAAAUCAUAAUUUUUUUUUUUUUUAGAGAAAGGACCGGAGGUUGUUAUUCACUUUGUUCAUUUUUUAAAAAAGUUAGUUAAAAAUGCGAGACAGUUAGACUUUAAAUUUAGAAUCUUUGGUACACUAGCUAGAAACAGUCGGUAUUGAAUUACAAUUUAGGAAAGAAAAUGCCACAACACACUGGCAUGAUCAAGCUCUUAGACCUUUACAGGGGUUAAUCACUUGGUCUUACUGAAUGCCCCAUAUUAGAGUCUCUUGAACCAUAUUUGGUUCAGGCAGAAAACUUAAGCCCACAACGACGCGGUGCUUCUCUUAAACCUCCCUCUUUCAUCCUGCCACGUCUUCCCUUAAUUUCUCAAGUCUCCAACAUCCAACCAAAUGAAGAGGAAAACGGAAAAGGCAAAGAGCUUCCAGAAUCGCCUGCUCAUCUCCUUAACAUUAUUAUUCCACUACAUGCUUACCACAUCUCCCCACCUUCUCUACACCCUCUGACCAUGUACACCCACCACCACCACUAGGUCCACUACUACGCUAUUAUGCUAUAACCAUCCCAUUUAGUCCCCCCCCCCGGCCGACGCAAACCCAAAAGCAACGAGCGCACAACCCACCACCAAGAAACAUGGCCACGCCGCGCCGCGUUUCCUGCAUCCGCACGCUGCGCCCGAGCCACCGAUCCGCCGCCCAAGCGGACGAGGCCAAGCGGAGCCGCUCCCCCUGCGUCUGCUGCGUGGGGCCCCACCACCAACCCAAAUCGAAGCCCCGCACGCCGCGGAGCGCCCGCCGGGGCCCGCGCGCGGUGGCUCGGCCCGGGCGGUGGUUCCGCGCGGUGCGCCGCUCGUUCGCGCAGGCCCCGUGCAGGUCCAUCGCCGUCGCCGCGCGCGGGGGCGAGGAGGUGAAGGUCUACAACCCGAAGCUCGCGCAGCCGGCCGAGGGCGCCGCGCUCAAGGAAGGGAGCGGCUCGGACGAUGAGUUUAGUUUGCUGUGUAAGGAGGGAUUCUGCCGCGAGGACGUGGCGGCGGUCACCAUCCAGGCCUACUUCAGGGCCCAUCUCGUGCGCUUAUUCUACCCUACUUCAUUUUAAUUUAUUAUUUUUGCGUCAAAUUUGUAGAUAUAUAAUUAUAUAGUCCCUCUUCCCUCUACACUCCAACGCUACGUGUCAGAUUGAUUUGCUCUACUCAUCCAAGGAAUUAUUAUUAUCAUGCUAAUCUUAUUAAUUAUCGUUUUUUUAAUCCUAAACUUUUUUUAAAAAAAUUAAUACAUUUUUCGAUGGAAGAUGUGUAAAAUUUACACCUAUAUAUACAGAAUGUAUGGGAUAUAUUUUUCUACCUGAUUGACUUAGUUUUUAUAAUUUGCGCUUAAACAUUUAAUCUCUGUAAUCGAUCGUUUUUACUCUUUUAUUAUUAUAAUGGGUGUCAAAGUUAAAUCACAUAAAUAUUGACUUGUACCGUGCAUGUUGGCAUGUGGGUGAUCACAACAAUGUCCGUAGGCGAACCCAAAGCAUUUAUUUUUCUAACUAAAGUGACUUCUCUGGUUUCGAGCGCACUGUAUAUAUGAUGAUGGAAAAGAUCGUUUGCCACGAGAUGUCAAAUUAUUUUCAGCGGCUAAUGAUGAAUUGUUAUAUUUUGCAAUUAAGACUUCAGAAACUAAAGUAGCAAACUGAAUUCUGUAAUCCAAUUAAGUUGCAAUAUGGAUGCAGUUUAGGCACUAUGGGUGCAUCCAAACCUUUUUUCUGCUUUAGAUGUCAUUUAAUUUGUGACACUAAUAAAUAACUGCUGUUUAUGAGACCAAUGUGGAAUUGCGUGGCAUUAGGCGCGGCGGGCGUUCCGGGCGCUGAAGAGCCUGGUGAGGCUGCAGGCGGUGGCGCGGGGGGCGUACGUGCGGCGGCAGGCGGAGGUCGCGAUCCACUGCAUGCAGGCACUGGUGCGCCUGCAGGUUCGGGUCCGAGCCAGGCAGCUGCUCAGCAAGUCCAAGGAGGCCCAGCUCCUACAAAACUGAAGAUUUCUGUAGGAUACUCUCCUCAACCUUCUCAGUGAUCGACGCCCUCUGAAGUUUGUAAUCUGAUUGCAUUUUGUCUCAUUUAUGUAUGUUAACCUUUUCCUGUAAUGAAAUUGUGACUUGUUGGCGAAAAUUGUUCCUCCCUUGCCUCUCUUUAAUUUCUUCACCGAUCCUUGAUUUUAUUUUCAUUAUUUGAUUCCAUUGCACCAUAAAUUUCUAUAUAUCCGGCUGGGUAAAUUGCAUUACUGCUCCUCAUCUUUCUAUCCAUUUUCGUUCUGAACCAAGUACUCUUUUUAAGUGAAACACUGCCAACAUGUGCUGACUCGUCGAUCGAUCAGGGAAUUAUGUUAUUCAUAGCGAACUGCAGUCAGAAACCGGCACAAAGCCGUCGAGUACAUUAAGACUUAAAAUGCACGUACGUAUGCAAGGGGGGAAAAAAAUAUGAAAAGAGAUAGCGAGACAACAACUCCAGGAGAAUUUGUCGACACCCAAAUUCCGACGUUUGAAAGAGAAAAACGAAGUGAGGAAACAAGCAAAACCAUGAUGAUCAACCAACUAGCUAGAUCACCGGCGCUGGCUCCUGCUGCAUGGCCACCACCUUGCGCCAUGCGGGCCGGUUGGUGAUCUGCUUCCACCACCGGUUCACGUUCGCCAUCGACGCGAAAAGAGAGCGGCACGCAGGGAUGGAGCCGAGGCGGUGCGCAUUGGGGACGUGGGAGAGGUCGGCGAGCGUGAAUUUGUGGCCUGCGAGGUACUCGUCCUCCGCGAGCCUGCGCUCGUAGAUGUCAAGCACCUCCCCGAGCUUGCGCUCGCUCGCCACCACCGCCUUCUCGUCCUUCUCCUGCCCCAUGAGCGGCGCGAACGCCAGGUUGAAGACCAGCUCCGAGCUCGGCGGGCCGAAGCUGUGCGCCUCCGUCUGCAGCCACUGCUCUAUCGCCGCGCGCUCCAACGUGCACGUGCCGAACAGCUCCUUGUUCCCGCGCUCGUGGUUGCGCCCCGCAAUGUGGCGGCAAAUCUCUCUCGAGUCUGAGAUCGAACAGUUAACAGCAAUUCAAUAUCAUGAAGUUAAGUCCUAAACUUCUUUAACUCAAAUUUCACUUAGAUCCCCAAAUUUUAAAUUGAAUUAGGCUGGUGCAUUGAUGUACGAAUGGUUAUACUAAGGAGCAUUUGAUUGAAAUAAUUUUUUUCUUUUCAAGUAUUAUCCCUCGCCUUUUCUAAAGCUAAUUUAGGAGCAAAUAGUUUUGCGUAUAAUGACUACGAGAAAAUAUUGACAAAACUUGGAAUAAAAUGAUUGAAAAAAAUAGAUAAAUUGAUCACUUCAAGUUUUUGACAAAUGACUUUUACAACGGGUAUUUUACAAAAUAAAUUAAUAGAAAAGUAAUAUGAAAGGUCCGUGCAGCCACACUUUCGCAAUAUAUAUAUAUAGAGAGAGAGAGAGAGAGACAGUAGAGUUACUAUACUCCUAUGAGUAUAGAUAUCUUUAUACUUAUAAGUUUUCGACCGUUAGAUUAAAAAAAUAUGUAUAGAUAUUUUUAUACUUAUUAGCUUUCGGCCGUUGGUUAGAAUGAUAGUGAUUUUUUAAAGUUGAGUGGGUGGUUGGUUGAAUAAUAUGAUCUAACAGAUAGAAAUGAUAAACGAAGUAGAUCUAACGACAGAAUACUUAUACAUAUAAAAGAGUCUAUACUCAUAAGACUAUAGUAACCGAACUCUAUAUAUUUAAUUAUUACGUAAGUUAUUUCUAAAGUUUUUAUAGAUAUUGUUUGUAACAUUAGGCAAAAGUAUAAGAUCCCAGCGAGAAACGAUUCUUACCAACAAGCGUCAGUUUCCCAUCUUCGAAUGUUAGCGCUUGACCAUGCGGCUGCAACGAACAACAUCGGUAAGAAUCUCACACCAUUCCUACUGAUUAAAAAACAGAGCAUAUUAAGGACCUAUUUGGCUCAACGGCUACUUCCAACGUACGGCACCGUACCGCGACCGAAGUUUCAGUUUUAAACUUCAACUGUAAUACAUUAAAAAUGGACCAAGCCAGGCCAAAGGAUAUACUAGAUCAGUUUACGAAAAGAGCAUCACCUGCAGUUUGAGGUAGUCGGGCAUGCGCUUCUGGCCCUUGUACGUAUCUACUCGGAUCAGCUGGAACUCAACAUCCUUCUCGAAGAGGCACAUCAACACUCUCGCGACUUCCGUCGAGGUUGGUGACCCGAAUACCUUCACGCUCGCCAUCGAAAAUUUGGUUACGGAUACGGAGAUCAAAGUGCUCUACUCUCUUAACUAAUACACACUAGCAGUUGAUAGUUCCAGUUCCAAGUGCACAGAGGUUGGAUGGUUCAGGUGGUUUUUAAACUUAGCUUGUAGCACAAUGAAAUGCCUUGCUUGUCAAGAGGAAAAAUUAAAGGGCAAAGGGAAAGAAAAUAAAGGGAAAGUGAAAGGAGAAAAAGAGAGAGGAUAGCUUAUUAAUUUAAUUGGUAUUGAAGGUGUUUUACUGGAGAUAGAUCUGGCUUUUUCUUUCUUUAAGAUGGAGCUUCUCCAUCAAGUAUGUGAGCUUAGUAUGUAUUUUAAUAUCAGCUAAACAAAAUAUGUCAGAAAAGCUAAAGGGAUUCAGAGAUGGAUUUGGCUUUAGGUCGGUUUUGAAUAACCAAUAUUAGGGCUUUCUUUAGUAAAGCUUCUUUAGUAACUGCGAUGAUUAGAGAAUUUGUUUUUAAUCUGUGAGGAUCUCUCUUGCUACUUGAUAUUCCCUGUUUUAACAUUACAUAAUAGCUGCGUUUUCAUUGAAACUCUCCUACCAGUUGCCAAUUCUCAUUUCAGAUUCAUCACACUCUUUUCAAGGACAAUAGAAAACACCGCAAAAUUCUGGUGAAAAUCUCAAAGAAAAUCGAGUCCUCGAGUUGACGUUUGAUGAUAAUGCGGCAAUUGGUUGAUCUAUCAUUCCAUGGAAGUCAACAAUGAAAGAGACCAGAUCUCGGUGUCCUCUCAUAAUUGAUUCACUAAUGAUUGAUUGCAUGAUUAAUUGGCCACCUAAAAUCAAGAGCUCAAACUACACUUCGGUGCACACUCUUAAGCCACACCCCGUAAUAUAUUAAUAUCCACUAAAACAUGAAUAAAGCAGAAACUAAAAUGGAUAUAUAUAUAUAUAUAUAUAUAUAUAUAUAUAUAUAUAUAUAUAUAUAUAUAUAUAAAACUGCAAACAACAAACAACUUCAGAAAAAACAGGAAGCAUUAUCGAAGUAUCUUGCGCCUUUCGAUCAUAGGCGUCAAUCGAUCACGUCAUUUCUUGAACAAUUUAAGAUGAGCACGUACUACCAACAUAAAAACUCGAGCUCAACUAUAGCUCGAGUUCGUUAAGCCACUGUACAAUCGGAGACAAGCCUGGAACUUGACAGUACAAUUAACUCAUCUCAUCCAUAGCCCUACCUAGGCUUUUGUGAGCACCUAAAUAACCUAAUUGUCAGUCGAGUUAGGUUUCAAGAGACUUUGAAUUUUCAUUUAGAUAAGAUAGCAAACAUCUUCGGAUUAUUAUUCAACUUUAGGAACUAUAUUUCACAGAAUACAAACUUCACGAACUGGGAUUCACAGAAUACAUAGAAAUGCUUCUCGAUUAUUUAUUAGAGAAACUCCUCACACCUUUUGUAAUGCCAAAGAGGAAGUACUCGACGAGUAACAAGCAGACAGAAACAACAAACACACCACAUGACACAGAGAAGCAAAAACGACAGAUAGCAGCAAAGCCAUCAGAGCGGAUAUAUUGCCGGUGCUCGGUUAAUUAUUUUCCUGAUCGGACCAGGAUACUCAUUCUGCAAUUGGACAACCUCCUUCCAUGAGGGGCGAGUCGAGAUUGCGUUCCACCACCUCUCCACAUUCUUCCUUUCAGUGAAAAGUUCCUGUCCCCUUUUAGACAGAGUAACAAGAUAAUGAGAAUUCGGGAGGUGCGAAAGAUCCGCGAGGGUAAAACUAUCCCCAGCUAAGUAUUUGCUGUCUCCAAGUCGCUUAUUGUAAAUGUCAAGUAUCGCAGAGAGCUUCUUCUCAUUUUGUUCUAUCACGGCUUCGUCAGGGUGUAUGCCCAACGGCUCAGCAAAAGCCAAAUGAAAGAUCAGUGCGGAGCUCGGACGUGCAAAGCUGAGAGCUUCUGAUUGAAGCCACUGCUCAAUCAAUGCCCUAUCCAGUGCUCCUUUUCCGUAAAGUGCUUUGUUCCCCUCAUCUUCGUACUUGGUGGCGACGUGACGUAUUAUGGCCCUCGAAUCUAACAGGACAAAAGUAACAAGAUUGCAUUUCACUUUUUGGCCGGUAUUGCAAAUAAACGAGGCUAAAAUGCAAGAAACGACCUAACAAAUAUCAUGAUUUUACAUAUGAAACACAGGUUUUGCAAAUUAAGGCAUGCGGAAAACAAAGCGGAAAACAUGGCAUCUGCAGGGGAAUUAUCAUAAAACUUAACCAAAAUAAACGACAAGGAGCAUCAGCGUGCUUCACUUACUGGUAAGGGUGAGAUCCCCAUCCUUAAAUGUCACUUGACCACUGAUAUCCUGCAAGGUUUGAAAGGAAGAAUCACAAGAUUUAUCCUCAUCAGAGUGUAAACACCACCCUAGUAAACAAAGAUUGUAAACACCUGUAUGCAUGAACAAAUAUGCUUAUCGAGUAACUUGCCUGGAGCUUGAUGAAUUCAGGUACAUUGGGUUGUCCAUUGAAUUUAUCAGCGCGAACGAGUUCGAACUUUCGAUUCUUUUCAAAGAGGCAAGUCAGCACCCUCGCAACAUCUGUGGAGGCCGGCUGUCCAAACACUUGCAAACCAGCCAUUUUGUGAGUUUUAGUUCCCCUUUAAUUUAAUUCGAUCUCACACGAGCUGCACCGAUAUGGAGUAUAGCCACAAUUCCGGCAGUAUUUAAGGUGCGGUUGGCCAGACGAAUUUUCUUUUCUUGGUAUGUACGUAGGCUAGCACCACAAGCAGGAAAAGACAGAGGAUAAAGUAAAGGGCAAAGAAUAGGGAUUCUUGCUUCUAACAGUACUACUGUAACUACCAGAUUUAGUAUGUAAUAUUGAAAGAAGGGCUAAAGUGCAUACCCUCUUGAGUUGUAUUAACGAAUAUAUAUAGUACAAGAAAUUGUCUUACUAUAGUAACAAUGAUUACUAUAGUAAGAGUAUAAAUAGGAUUACAUACUAUACAAUCCUACUCUAUAGAAAGCAAUGAUACUACUCUAUAUAAGGCAAUAAUACACAAUAUCCUAAUAUAGAUAAAAUAUAUCGUAACAAAUAUGCCUUAUGCUAGCUGUCAGUCUUUUAUAUAAUUUUUCAGCAUAAUACAUAAAUCAUGGACUAGAGGAAUAUAACAAAGAAAAGGUUUAAUGUAUCAUACAAGGUUGUGCCUGCUACAUCGGAAAAAGGAUUCAUUAUAGGUUGGCAAAGAAGUCUGGAAUCAAAUGGAUUUGAAGUGAAAAAGAAUUAAUCACUUUUUGCUAGUGGGACAAGAAUUAGAUCUUUGAUUAAAGUAUUAAGCUUCCUCUCAAGCACAAUUAUGAUGGAAUCAAUGGUAAUGAAAUGUAGUAAGUGGAAUUUUUUACUUGCAAUAGACACAGCUUGUUCUUGCACCGGAGGCAAUCUUCUUCGAUAACCAUAUGAAAUAAUAUAUUGGAUUGUCAGAGUUUAGUUUAGCUUAUGUUUAUGAAAGCUGACAGAAUUUCCAUUACCUUGCUGCUCACAUGGAAAGAUGGAGAAUGAAUUCUUCAAAAACAAAACAGAGAUACUAGAUAGUGGAAACAUAAUAAUUUAUAAGCUGAAUGUAGAUGUCUAUGUUGUUACUAUAUCCGGAUGGAGCUUGGAAAUGAUGUAACCGAUCCUCUCAUCAUCAUCAGAGUUUGAUGAAACUAUGCAUUCUUUCAUUUUUCGCUCUAAAAAACUUACCCCCAGUCAAUUUUGACUAGGGGCAGCCUUUGUUAAUUCAAGUAUGGUUGUUAAGGCAUUGUUAGAUUAAGCGCAUCCUAUCCGUAGGGUAAAAAACACAGGAAAGAAAAAGGUUCAAUGUAUCAUACAAGAUUGCACCCCUAGAUCACCAAAGGAGACAGCCAUGUGAGGGAAAAGCCAUGUGAGGGAAAGAAAGAUGGCAUCAAGUGAACCACAAGUUAAGAAAUUUUAAGUUUCCUUUGUCUGGGAACAAUGAUUAGAUCUUGAUCAAAGUUACAUUCUUAGUACGGUGAACCUGUAUGAUCAAAUCCAUGUACAACUAAGACGUCAAGAACCAGUUCAGAAUGUAAAUCCCAUUGUUUGCAUAAGAAAGCAAUAGACACUAGAUGAUUAAACGGAACCAGCAUAAACAAUUUAAGCAGAUAUCAUAUCUGAUGAUUAUCACUAAUCCUCCCAUUAUACUUUAGAGUUUGACAAACCAUGCAAAUUGUUUUGUUUCUAUUAAUUCCGAUUUAGCCCAAAAAAUCAGCUUCAGCCAUGUUUGGUUUGGAACAACCAGCAAAAGUGUGGUUGAACUAAUGUGGAUCAACAACGUUGAAUUAUACCGACCGUCUCUAGAGCAAGUGGCAAAGGAUUUGGUGGUUGGUAUCCGAGGUCCCAAGUUCGAAUCCUAGUUGAUUCAUAUUUCCAGCUAAGUUUAUUUCUAAAUGAAAUAAACGAAUCAAAUAGCGUGCUAUCUAUCUCUCAAAAAACAAAGUUGAAUUGUCAGAGUUUCAGAUCCUUUAACCACUGGAUCUUAAGCACGCAAAAUAUACCAAAUAAGCACUCCAGCAUCCAACCAUCAAAACAGAAAUGCACGAACUAUUUUAAACGAGAAUUUUGAGUACCCUGUACGACAAUUCCAAGACAAAUGGGAGUGGGGAUUGGUCACUAAAACUCAAAACUUAAAACGGGUAUCUCUUUGUCCUGAAUCAUAAUCCGCGAGAGAGAACUCUCUCCCCCAACCGGGAACUGACUCUCUCAAAGCUUGUUGCUCGUGCACAUUCAUUAGUACCUUCGCGAAAUUUGCAAUGACGGAGCCAAAGUCCAUGGCCAGACAAACGAGGAGCGUGCAUUAAGGAUUUGUUAUAAUAUGUUUGAAAAAAUCAUUAUCACCAACCGCUCAAUCCAUUUGCUAUUAUAGAUUAGCAACAUGGCAUAUCAAAUAUUAUGUUCUUACAUCCAUCUAUUUCAACACUAACACGAAUAAGAAGUUAUUUGCUGCCUUUAUCUGCCUAAAUUAUUUGAAAAUACCAACUAAUCAGGUUUUUGCAAAAAGUUUUUUCUUUUUGGAGUAUAAACAUUCAAUACUCUUUGUCUGUUACUAUAAUUUUAAUCCAUCAAAAUCGAACUCUUCCUCUGCCGUAGAAACUGUAUCCAAUAUGCUCCAAAUGGUGGCCAUUUGCACGCAAGGAAUCCACGGGACAUCCGAUCCCCGCUAUAUAAUUGUUCAAUGAUUCCAGCAUCACCACGAAAUUGCAUGGUAUUAAUUGUUGGAUUCAGUCUCUUGAACAUUUUUCCAAACACUCGGUUCCCGAGAUACAUAUUCAGAUAAACUAGAGUUAACAAGUUUCAUCAUUUCCCAAUAUAAAUCACUUGCUACUCUCAAAAAAUAUAUAAAUCACUUGCGCUUGUUAUUGAAAGGUUGAUGCAAACACUCCAAAUAGUCAGUAUACCACUGUAGAUCGCUUGCUACGGAGAUCACAGAGCACGAACCGCAUGGAAUAACACUUAGCUACUAAGAUUGUCCGAAAAGCACUACGAGAGAAACAUCUAUUUCCAAGUACCAAAAUUGUCCCCCUGCCCCCCAAAAAAAAGGAAAAAAAAAAAAGAAAGCCAGGAAUAAGGGGAAAAGUAAGAAACAAAGCCAAAAUCCGGACCUCAGGAAGAGCGCGUUCCCCUUCGGCUCGCUCCGGGCCAGAGAGCUCUUCCCCUAUAUUUUUGCUAGAUCAAUUGGUGAGCUAAGUUCAAUAAUAUCAGUUAAAAGUUAACCAUGUGGAAGGCAAGCGCGCAGAUGUGACGGGAGGCAUGUUGCGGACAUUGACAUCGAGCGGCAGCAUCCGGUAUUCAAUAUCGAGUUCUUUUAAGACUCUGAUCAUCUCCUGAACCACGAGCUCUCUCCUCCCCCACCUCAUCCCCAUAUCUUGGUGAUUGAUUCGGUGGCGCAUCCAUAUAGAUACUCUCAACCUGUUCAUGUCAUCCACAUCUCUAAGAACGACAGAUGGAUUAGGGUACCAAUGUUCCUUCUUACUCUCCAUAAACCUGCAACCACAUUACAGUGAAAAACCGUGCUCAAGUCACGUAUGUGUAGAGACGGUAUAAUUGUAGAUAACUGUUCAUGGUCAUCCCAUGUUAUAAUGGUUCAUAUUUUAACUAGAUGGCGAUAAUUCAUUGAAAAAAGUCAAAAUCAAGACAUUAUUACAAAUAAUAAAAUAAUCCUUUCAUGACAGUUAUCCAUGUCCCACAUUUUUUGGAGAUGCUGCAUCCAAUUACGGUUUGUUAUAGGAUUUAGCUAAAUAUGAAACAAAAGAAAAUAUAUUAUAAUUGAUCCUAGAUAACCAUUCUACUGCAACGGCGUUUCACCUUCCAAAAUUAUUAGAUAGCAAGAUUCUAGAAGUAUAAACUAGUCUAGAUAGCCAAUUUGUUGAUAUUGCUUAGACCUACUACUAGUUUAAUUUGCUCCACAUAUUUCCUGAAUUUCUGCUCUCCGAACUCUAUCACUACUACUGUAAAAAAUUAGAGGAGACUAACAUCUUAUCAAAUCGACAACAGCGCCAAUUGAUAUAAAAUGCUGGAAAAGUUUUGAUACUUACUGAAUUAUUCUUUGCUUCAUGAUGGCGAGCUUUUCCACGGGUGUUGCUACAUGAACACAGAAGUCAAUUGAUUCUCCCAUAUCCGGGCUUCGAUAAAAAUUGCUGAUUGGUUUGGUAGCAAGAAGACUAUUGGGGUAGUAAAUUUUGAGGUUAUCGUACCGCAGAAAAAUUGUUGCCAUGAUAUUCAUUUCCUCGACAACCAUCUGAAAUCGGAAUAUUGCAUAUCAGCAAUUCAUGUCAGAUAAUUAAUUAUUAGGGAACAGAACAGGACAAGUCAAGGAUAUGCAUCACCUGAACCUCCUCCACUUCACAACGAUCUCCAACAUCAAAGGGGUGCACGACAAAUAAGAAAAUGAUAGAUUCAAAAACCAUCUUUAAAGUGUUCCCAAACAUAAAAACUGCCAGAAGGACCUGAGAGCUGAGGAAGACGAAGAAAUGGGUUGUCGCAAUACCCAGAAUGAGAAGCCACAGGACAAAUGCAAUGACACCUACAACAAUGUUUGCCAUUUGGUUCAGCUUAUUCACUGCAGUUUUCGUAUCAUUAAGAGUCAAGGCAAGGGCUUUGCGUUCUCUGAAUGCAUUGACCUGCAGCAAAACGGAAGAGAUGAUCCCAAGGGGGGAGGGGAAUAUACUUAUGCUUCUAAGCCAAUGAUCAGCCAGGAAUAUACGACAAAGAAACUAAACAAAAAACAAUAAUAAUAUCAUUACCACCCAGUUCUUGAGGGACUUCCUGCUGACCCUGUUAUUCUCUUGUGCUCCCUCAAAAAGGCUCAUAGUUUUCACAGCUUCCUCGUGCCUCAUGAAACGCAUUAAAUCCGACAAGUAGAUAUACCUAUGACGACAGAAAUGAGUCAUUACUUGGUCAAAAAAAUCAACUGGAUCACAUUCACGAACUAGGUGAAUGACAAUACGCGGUGCAGAGCUGAAGACAACAAAUGUAGUACUCCACGAUAGCAAUAAACGUAAUUUUUGAAAAAAUAGAAUAAACGACGAACAUAUUUCAGCCCACAAAAUUGUUCUAGUUUUGUAAGGAUAAACAGGCGCGCUUCAUAGGUAGCUAAUGGCUCGUAUUAGUCAAUAAGACUGUCAACCUUGCCAUACCCCUGUUAUUCUCAAAUGCAAGCAACUUGUAAAGUAGUUUUUACCAAGGUUCGGUAGAGAAGGGAAGAAAAUCAAUUUGACGACUUCAAGACGAAUUUUUUAGUUAGCAAACCAAUUCGCCAACAACUUUCACAUCCUCAUGAAUAUCAAACUUUUUCUUUCAGGCAUGAAGUUUUAUGAAAAGCAAUUUCUCUGCUAUAUAUAUACUGACUUGGUGGCUCGACCAACCAACUUGCACACAGGACAUAAAUAAAUAGAAGAGACGAGAAUUAAAGCACGGUUGGUUGGGUUGACCAGAGUUAUAGGACAUAUACACAACGCUAGCGGAGUAAUAAUAAUAGUAAUAAGAAGAAGAAGAAUGAAGAAUGAUAGAUAGGGACAUUUUAAAGGGAUGCGGAUGGACUCACUUGGCACCGGGCUUGGCGACGUUGUUGAAAAUCUUUCUGGCGGCAAGCUUGGCCUCGUACUCGCUCCUGAUCUGCUUGGCCGACUCGUCCUCCCCGCCCGUGGCCUGCGAGAUCUGCUCGUCGAGGGUCAUGAGCGUGCCGUACCUAACGAUCUUCAUGAGGCGCUUCAUAUUCCACGCGGACACGUUCUUCUGAUUGAGUUUGUGGAGCUGGUCGAUCGUGAUGACAUCCUCCUGCGGCUGCUGCGGGCCGCUCCCGGCGGCGUCCUUCCGCGAGACGGCCCGGGACAGCUUGAUGCUCUUCCCGAUCUGCCCGCUCUUCCUCAUGGCGCUGGCGCUGGCCCUGCCGCUGCCGCUGCCGCUGCCGCUUCUGGUGGGGAACGCGGCCUUGCGGAGAUCGCUGGGAAUGGUGACGCCGGCGCUCUGGAGCUUCUGCACCUCGGCGAAGACGCGCUCCUCCUCGUCGUGGUUGCGCUGGAUCUCGACGAGGGGCGGGCCGGAGAGCGUCUCGAUGACGUACUGGUUGAAGAGGGCCUCCUGGAUGCGGUCGAAGUAGGUGCUGACGUGGAAGGAGGAGGCGAGCACCUUGACGAGCAGCGUCUUGAGGAGGCGGAGCAGGGUGGCGACGAGGAGGCAGAAGAGGACCUUGGUGACGUAGGGGAGGAUGCGGCUGCGCGUCUCGCGCUCCACCUUGCUGUCGAACAUCAAGUGCCAGGAGACGAGGACGAGGCCCAGCCAGAGGCUGUUCUGGACGGCCCUGCGCACGCCGUAGACGAAGUAGAGCACGCGCUUGCGGAGGAGGAAGUUGCGCUCCACGAAGAACACGGCCACGCGGAUCAGCCACCCGGAGACGAGGCGCCCGCAGAUGAGCACGAACACCAGCAGCUCCCACUUCCACAGGUGGAGCCCCCACACCGUCUGCCGCUGCAGCCGCCGCACGCCCAGGCUGCACGCCAGGGCGCCCAGGAUCACGACCAGGCUCAGCCACUGCAGCAGCGUCAGCGGGUCCAGCUUCGCGCGCUUGAACUCGUCGGGGAUGUCCUCGUCCACGAACGGGUCCUCGUCGUCCUCGUCCAAGGCCGGCGGCCCCCCGGCUUUGCCCAUCGCUCCCGAUUUGCCCAUCGCGCCCGAUUUGCCCAUCUGCCCCGAUCUGGCCGGCACGCGCCCGGAUCGCCCGCCGCCGUCGUUGCUAGUUGCGGACGACAGCGGCGGGGGGUCCAUGAGCCUGGAGCGGGUCUUGGCGCGGAGCAGCGCGGAGGGGGCGCGGCGGAAGGAGGAGUUGGAGGUGCAGCGGAGAACCUCGGCGGGGGGUACUCCGUUCUUGUCUCGGCCGUCAUCGUCGGAGGAGGAGGAGGAGGGGGAGAGGGAGGAGGGGGAGAGGGGGUGGUCGGCGGAGGGGUCCUGGAAGGAGACGCGGAGCUCCUUGGAGGCGGAGAUGGAGGAGGGGGGCUUCUUGAGCUCCUCCAUCUCGAGGUCCAUGUCCAGCGACAUCUCCGCCCCGGAGGCCUUCUGCUUGUGGAGGAAGGAGCCGAUCAGCCGGGACGGAGGGUCCUCGCUGAUCUCCGCCACCGGAUUCAGGCUCUGCGGCGGAUGGCUCUUGAAGCUGAAGCCGCUACUGCCGCCUCCGCCUCCGCCGCUGCCGCCAUUAUCACCGUCAUCCUUCCAGAAUUCGUAGCUCCCCUCCCUCCAUACCUUAGGGAGGGCGGCGGCGGAGGAGGUGGUGGUGGUAGUGUUAGUAGUGGUGUUGGUGCUGGUGGCGGCGGCGGCGGAGGUAGUGGAGGUGGGGAUGGGAGGGGGGUCGACGAAGGGGUUGUGGCUGUUGCCGUCGAUCUUGACGACGACCUCGCGGCGGUCGGGGUCGUCGUGGUCGACGAGGAUGGGCUGCUCCUCCUGCAGGUCGAAGGAGGGGUUGCGGGAGGACGAGUACUUGUGGGACCCGUACGACUUGAGAGAUUUGCGAAGAGGAUCCAUCGCUCUCUUCUCUCCUCUUCUCUCCCGCCGGGAGGAUCAGACGAAAGGAAGAGGCGGAGAAGCGUUUCUCGUUUUUUUUUUUUUUUAUUUUGAUUUUUCCUGAAUAUUCCGAAUCUCGCUUGACAACAACACUUCUCGUGCUGCCCAGUAUGGGAAGAGGAAGUAGGGCUGGGAUAGAAAAGGAAAAGGAGAGACGGAGGGGGACACGGGGGGAAACAGGGCAAGAGUUUAUAUGCUCUGUUGGGUACGUGUCAACAAAAAAAAGGACAUCAUACGCUGUAGCAGGUGUUGGUCCGCUGCUUCGGACCGCGUAGCUGACCCCGCUUGCUUGAAGAAGCAUAUUUUGGUCCGAAUUUAUGGUGGAGAUGCCAAGUGCUCCUCGUACAGAGCAGCGCUGGACGUCCUAUCCUAUCAUUAACGGGGCGCGACGUCCAAUGACCCGAAAUUUCAGCACGAAUGGGGUCCAGACGUGCGACUAUUUAGGCCGAGAAGGGUGCUCCGAGGGAGCGAGCUACCGAGUCGGAUGCCGGAGGGUAGCCUCUCGUAAUUUGGGGGUAAAAUUAAGGGGGGGCGCUCUGGACGGAGAUGUUGACGCUUGUCCAGAGUGCAUGGAGGGGCUACGGGAGGGCGGUGUUCGUGAGAGAGACGUGGAUGGCAGGACGAAGGCUGCCUGCAUGGCGUCGCCCGCGACGCGACGAACCGACGCCUCGGGCCGCGUAAUCGUGCCGCAUUUUCUUUGUUGGAGGAAAGCGAAACGAAUCGCCUGCGAGAACAGCCAUCCAAAAGAUGGAAAUUUUUUUAUUUCUUAAAAAAAUUGAUAGGAAUCAACCCAGUCACCCAGGUGGAGGUUAAUCACGUUUAACAUGGGUUUUUUUUCUGGCGAAGGAUCCAGAGUAUUGGUUUAAUAAAUAGCAAAAUUACAAGAAAUUAAUAACCAGUAGUAAGAGUGGUGAGAACGAGUUCCACGGAAGCCCUAUGUAUUAUUCUAAUCAGUCUUUGUAUGCCGCGCAACAACAACGAAACAUAAACCAUAACUCAAUACUAAGAUACUAAUUUCUUGUAAAAUAUUUCUUUUAAUAUAAUAUUUUCUUAUUUUAAUAUAAUAUACUAAAAUAUUUCUUAAGAGUGUCCCAAGAGAACUCUCCGCAUAAACCCGUCCGCUCAUAUUUAUAGAGAUUCACUCAAUCAGAUCAAUCCAACUACUAAGAACCCGAAAGCACCUCCUCCUAAAAAAGAGAUGAAUUUAGUACCUUAGCACUACCACCGAGUAAACCAUGAUAUCGAAGCGAAUACCAUCUAGUCCCUCUAUCGCAAUCUACAUUGCUACCCAACACCAUCCCAAGUAAAACCCUGUAUACAUUGUGCUAGUCCAACCCACCUCUCCCUAGUGGUCUAUUCACAACAACGGGGCUGGAACCACAGACCGUCUGUAGCCAUCUCUCUUUUUAUCCAGUUUCUCUUCUUUCACCUUUUCUCUAGCGGCCUUUCACAAGUCAAAGAGGAUACCCAGCAUUCCGCUACUUCAUGCCCUCACAGCCAACGAAUGUGGAGAAGUGCUCCACUUCCAACAAGGUAGCCAAAAAUUUGGAAAUCAAAACAGACUAUGUAGGGAAAGUUUACUAGGAAAAGCCAUUUUCUGAAUUCAUCUAUAGAAUUGUCUUAUUGUCUUCUUGUUUGAUAUACAAAAUAAUUUAUUACGCUUUAAGGAAAAUAAUUUAGGUAUAGUAUAUACACUGUAAUUGUGUCGACAACCCGUUAUCAUAUCUACUUGAGUGAGCAAUAAGAUCCUGAACACGACGUUCGAGCAUCCAAAUAGGACAAACUUAAUGUAGUCUCUAAUAAAGCACCUUUACACCAAAUACAUUGCCCAACUCACUGCUUUACAACGAGCAUGCAGAAUGGCAUGAUACAAACAAAGAACAAGCAUACAACCUAACAAUGUGUUAUCCUGCGCCACAUCAUAUACAGAAUGAUAUUUUCUAUUUUUCCAUUCAUAUACCAUAGUAACAGAUAAAAAAAGAGUCAAAAUACGGUGCCAAUUUACUAUUCGAGUCUGUGCACCAUGUAACUUAAUUGUUACCCUUCAAAUGACCAAUCAUCAACAUCAUGAAACCUUUCUUCUAUUUAUGAGACUCAAAUGAAGAUCCAUAAAACGGAAAACAUGGCUUUGUGGAAACAACGUUCAACUUAUUAUUGCCUAACAAAGAGGAACGAUUAAAACACUCUACUGCAUGAAGUUUUUGGCCUAGUCUGUGAAUGUAUUUCCAAAUGCAACCACUUUAAUGCUUCAGAGGAUUCAAAAAAUUCAAAGCCACUAUACAACUUCUAUAAUCUGAUGCUAUAAGUAUCAAAGGUGAAAAGUUCUAGUGCUCUCAGAUUUUUCUCUUCUUUUUUUUGAAGCAUCGGCCUAAUUAUGAAGGAAAACGGGCUGAGAAUGUUAACUUUGUGUGUGUGUGUGUUGCGGGGNGGUGUGGUGGUUAUGAAAACGGGCGUGCUUGGAAACACAUUGCCCCGCUAGUAAUACAAUACAUCGCUAUGGAUAGUAAGCCAUUGAAACAAGCAUAAUAAUUACAAAGGAAAAUUAAGAGACUGCGAAAGAGAAGAAACAUGCCAACAGCAUCAAGCGUCAACGGUCACGCCUGAGAACUGAGAAAAGAUGACCAAGUGACUUCUUCUGAUGGCCCAUGGGCACAACCUGUUCACUAAAUGUAUGUCAAAAAGAAAUUCAAGCAACUGAAGUAGCUGAAUGGAUUAUGUGACGAGGAACAUACUUCCUUGGCAAUGAUGUUAAGUAUCUCUAGAAUAUCUGAGAAAUUUGGCCUUAAAGCUGGGUCUUGCUGCCAACAUUUCUCGAGCAGAACAGCAAGCUUAGGAUGAGUGUCCUUUGGAAUAGUGGGUCUCAAACCCUGAGUAACAAAGCAGAUGAAGAUUGUCGAACUGGUUGAAGAAUCAUUAGAUAAACCCAUUUUAAAAUGUGCAUUAUAUAGAUCACGAUAACCCAAUACUUGGUUCAGAAAAAAGAAAAAGGAUAUGUACUGUUUCUUGUCGUAUAUAUAACUCAUCUACAAUCAAGUUAGUUUCUAGAAUUAACCGUUUAGCCAAGGUUUUUGUGCUGAAAUGGUUUUCAGCAAUCAUGCAUACCCUUGAAGUGGUGGCUCUCUACAUAACUGAAUAAUCAUUCAAAUGAAAUUUACCUUCCAAAAAAAGAGGAGAUUUAGUGCAACAAGUUGCCAUAAAAAUUACACGAGCGACAGAAAAAUAUGCAUGAGACCUGGAGGGAAUGAAUCUGGAGUAUAAAUCACAUGUAGAAAAUAUUAUAGCAAAAGAAACGUGAAAAAUUGGUAAAUAGUUAUUGGUAUUUAUGAGGAAUAUGAAUGUUAAUAGCACAACCACUCAAACAAGAAAGGCGAUAUACCUUUUGAACAACAGCAACUGCUGCUUGAAGUGGUGUUAGAUCUUCGUAUGGGAGCUGAUCAAUGAAAGACAAUAAAGAAAAUGAAACAUCAACUUGAUAAAUAUGGUCUGCAUAAAACAUAGGGUAAAAGAUUGAUGCAAAGAAACCGCUGAUGCUACCUUUCCUGCCAGCAAUUCCCAAAGAACAAUACCAAAACUGAAAACAUCAGCCUUGUGAUCGUAAAAUUUGUGUUCAAUUACCUAGAAAUUGGAACUUAAUGAUCAGAUCAUAACAAAUUUUCUUGAGAGAAAGAUGACAUAUAUUGCAUUAAUACCAUAAAUAGGCAAAAGGUGGAAACAAUUGAAUAACUCAACAAGCAAAAUAUAUUUGCACAGCUUACUAAGCUUUUACUUACAACCUGAUAGUCAACAAAAAUCAAUUUCCCCAGUCUGUACUGUUGUGUUAUAUCUUUAAUAGUCAGCCCGAAGCCCAAAAAACAGAAACAAAAGCAUUAGGUAGCCAUACAUAGGAUUGCCAAAACCUACUGAGAUGGUUUUGCCAUGGGAGUAACAUUAUUCAAGCGAAAGGUGCUAUUGGAGGAAAGAAAAAUUGGAAUGAAAAUUUCAUGGAAAACCUUGACUAACCAAAACUGCAUAGGACAAUACGAUCCAUAUCACUGACCCUAAAUAGUUGGGCUUAAAGGCUAAGUUAUUGUUGAUGUUCUCAUUAUUAUUGUUCUUGCUGUUGCUGUUGUAAUAAACUAACCCUUAGUACAACUGAAGAGGAAUUUGAAAAAGGUUACUAUUCAUCAACCAAAAGAAAAAAAAAUAGUUGUUCAAGAACACAACAUAUUGACAAACGUACAUCAAAUUACAUUAAAUUAUGAGAUAAGAAACACAUUUCUUUUGUCAGAGUUGUAAUUUCAAGCACUGAUUUACCAGACACUCUCAUCACUUAAAUAUUCAGUAAACUGCUAGCUUAGAACGAUAUAAUUAUCAGAAGAACCAACCUCAGGAGCCAUCCAUCGGUAUGUUCCUGUUUCUGCAGUCAUUACUCCAGACUGAGCUUUAACCCGGGCCACUCCAAAAUCUGCUACCUUGACAACCUGUGGGCAGAUGAUGUAUUAGACGACCAAACAGAUAAUAAGCAAGACAUGCACACAAGAACAACGACAGACAAGAUGAUUUAAAAAAUUUAGAUUAUUACACGAAUUGAUAUUGACAAGUGAUGCUGCGACACCAACCGCACCAAUCAAGGGGUUUAUAAGAGUUGGAAAAAGAAGGGGCAUGCGUUAAGCUAUAUAUAACCUUAACAAAAAUUAUUUGAAUUAAAAAAUUAAUUUUCUACACAAUUUAUAUAUUCGAGCAGAAGAAAACAAUAUAACAAUGGGGUAAUAUGAUAGAAAAUACAAAUGCAAUGCUAACCGCUAGCAAAGGAGACAAGCACAUAAUAACAAUAUUAUGUAAUAUGUAAAAUAAUUUAGAUUCAUUUACUUUUAAUGUGCCUCUCGCACAAAAAAAUGUGACGGCAUACUACUUAAAAUAGCAUGUGCGGAAUUAAAUACCUCAUUUUCAUCCAUAAGAAGAUUUGCUGUCUUCAGGUCCCUGUGGAUAAUAUUACAGUGGUGCAAAUAGUUCAUUCCCUUUGAUACAUCAGUAGCAAUCCUGAGCACAUCUGGGAGCUGGAAAACACCUUUCUUGUUGUGAAGAAAGUCAAAUACACUCCCUCCACGCAUGAAUUCUGACAAUGAAACAAACCUGACUCAAAUAUUCAGUCAACUAAACAAGAAGACAACAUGAAUAAUGUGUAGGAGAUUUGUUCAUUCUACAGUGCAUUCUCCACAACAACUCUAAAAGCUAAGCAUACUACCUGUAACUAUACACAAAAUAGGUGGUCUGGUGCAUGCGCCAAUAAACUGCACAACAUUCUUGUGACGAACCUUUCUGCAGAGAUUGGAUUGGAAAGAAUUGAAGAAAGUAAAGAAGAAGAUUCAGGGACAAGAGGAUGCAUACCCCUCUCUAAAUAAAAAAAAUUCUUUCGUUAAAUAUAAUAAGAAAUGAAAUGGAAGAUCAAUUUGUGAAACAAAAAAAAGAGUGAAAUGACACUAAUAGGAAUGUAGUAGAAGCAUAAGGCAUCAAAGCAACAUUUGUUUUCAAUGUCACACAUUAUUCAUGUGUUCUGGCCAAUAAUAAAAGAAUAUUUAUUUUCAUAAUGGUCUUCUCCAUAAUGGCUGUCCAAGACUCCCAAAUCCUCUUCUCACAUGCAUUGGUGUGAAAAUAUUAUGCAAUCAAUAUUCUCCUCCUAACAUGAGAAUAACAUAUUUGAAAAUUUCAGAUAAUCCAAAUGCUGGCAUUCCUGAGAAACUAAACAGAAUUAUGAUAGUUUAACUCACAGUCACAAGGGUAAAGGUAAAACACCAAAUGAGAGCAAUGCCACCUAAAGAAUACUCUUACAAGGCUUCACUUAAAAAUUUGACCAUUAAAUAACCUUGUCAAUCAAAUGCAUCAUAUAACAGCCAGCAUGCAAGGUUCCAGCAAUUAAUUGUGAAGUACCUGGAAGGCAAGGAGCUAUGCAUCCUUACACUCCCAAAUGAUGGCCACUAGGCAUCCAACGAGGUUGUCUGUCUCUUGGCAAAAAACCACCACUUCGGUGGAACUGGUAAGCCAGAACCAUCACUCAUAGUAACCGUAAGUGACUCUAAUAAACCAUUCAGUGCAUGAUUGAAGGCCUUUAAGCUACUAACUAAUGUUCUUAACAAGUCACAUAACUGGGAAACUUUUCCAUAAAGUCAAUGAGCUAAAUAGUAUUCACUUUCAAAAUCCUUAUUUUGAGGUUGCUAAACAACCAUACGUCAGUUUACUUUUCAAAUGCUUCCAACUUUCAAAUAAGCCAUUAAACAAUAACCACAGUAACCUCCACUGGACAUGAUAUACAAACAAGGGUAUCUUCACCAACUACAUGCUCCUUUCGGUCUCUAAAUUAUUCAUGUAGUUUUAUGUACUAGCUUGUCCGACGAAUGCAUAAGAAGCCAUUCGAAAGGUGCUUUGCUAGGGGGAUCUUGGGAAGCUUUGUUCUGAACAUUAAGUUGGAGCAUUUUUUUUCUUCUUCCAAAUAUACAGCAUGUAUUCAGUAGCCUAUGUCUAUGCAGUAUGCCCUACCUUGCCUCUCUGAACAAGUUAUGAGACCCAUCCAUCCUGAAGUAAUGCUAUGUAAAUUCUCUAGCUAUCAGAGGAGAUAGCUUUAUAGACCAUUUAUUGCACCUCAAUCAUCUCAAAACAUGGGGAUGCAAACACCCCUUUCCUAAACUCCCUCCAAGCAUUACAUCGCAAGGGAGUUUAUAGCUCAAAAAAUCAAUGUAAAAAUACUAAGGGAAUAAAAAACAUAUCAUCAUAUGAUACUAACAGCAAAAUCAGGAUUAUCCCCUCAUGGACGAUAGUGCAAGUUGUUCAGCUACUACUUGUCUAAGUGUUCCUUCAUAUAAAAUGAUAGGAGACAAAUCCAAUGAUCAAAACUAGGAAGUAGGAGGAAAAAAAAAUGCAACAGCCAACUAAUAAAAAUGUAUCUGUUUCAUAUGGAAUGGAAAAAAAAAAAAAAUAAACAAUAGAAAGAUUUUACUGAAACUAGGUACGGCUUUUUACAAACCUCAUAAUAUAUACUUCCUGUGCAAACUCACGCAGCCUAUCAAUGCUGACAAGCUCCGGUUUCAGAACCUUAAUGGCUACAUCUUGGCUACAGUAUGUUCCACGGUAACUGACAAGGAAACGGUAUAUGAUCCAGAUGAUUGAAAUGAAAAAUAUCACUCUAUCUAAGAGCAGUCUAUAUUGUUAACUCGUAGAACUUACAGAUUACCAUAAGAUCCAUAUGCCAGUUUACUCUCAAAUUUUAGAAGCCUGACAUCAAUUUCCCAAACAUCAGCUCCAUCUACAGGUAUCUGGACAUGAUCAGUUGGGCAUUCCUCCAUAGCUUCUACUUCCUCUUUAGGUAACUUUGACUGCGCCAACAACAAAAUUUAGUUCUGUACUAAUUUCAGGAGCAGAACGAAAGGUUAUGCCAUGCUUGAAGGAAAGGAAAAGGAGGCCAGGCAGCCAAAGUUAGAAUACAAAAAGACUAUUGACCAAGAUGAGAGGUGGUGUAUCACCAGCUCUCGAGAGAAAAAUUCGAAGGAACAAGACCUAUCCAACAAGAUAAGUAAAAGAUGGAGUAUCUGAUAAGCACGUUCAAUGGAAUUCAUUCUAAAGUUCACGACGUAAAUUACUUGGGAGAUACCUCUAUUGCUAGCUGGUUUAAUCUACCCCCACCAUAUGGACUCGAGCCAUUAAGUAUGUUAUUGAUGAAUGGAACCUUCCAGAUAAUUGCAAAAGCAUCAUUUUUGUAAGAACAAGAGGAUAACAUCGAGAGUUCUAGAGUCACAAAAAAAAAGAAAAAAAAAAAGCUCGUAGCUAUCUUUUAUCUAAUGGACUGACCUAUAUGUUGAAUUGCUUAAUCAUGUAAUCCACCAAAAUAAUCAAGAGUUAAUUAUAUCUAAUAGAGAAGAUAGUUUUGUGAGACAACAUUGAUGUUGACCAACAACAUAGAAGUGAUACAGCAGAAUAGCUGGCUUUGGUACUUGAUUGACAACAACCCCUCACAAAUAAUGAAUGAAGAUGAACAUUCCAAUGGGAACAUCCUAAUGGUUUCAACUUGGCUUUUAAAAUGACCCAAACAUAUAAUGAAAUAAAUUUGCACAUCAAUUUUCAUUAGCAUCUAGCAAAUAGAUGAUUACCUUUGUUUUGACAAUUUCUUUCUUCAGUGCACUUCUUAGAUUGCCAGUGUCCUGGAAAUUUCAGAGAAAAGUAAGCUUUUAGUUGGAAAUAGUAGAUAUAGAGAACUGUAAUCCAAAAUUGAAUUGAUGAAAAUCUUAAAAGAGAAUCAUGAUAGAAAAUAGAAGAUACAGUUCCUACAAUACUAUCUAGCAUUGGCAUCAAGAACUUCAUCUACAAAAAUGAAAGAACAAAGGGAACAAAAUUCCAAUGUUUCAUUUAUUAAUAUCAGCAGAAAUUUGCUAAUUAAUAUGUAUAGAAAGCCCAAACACAUAAUGAAGAGCCCAUUCCCAAAGCAUGCAUAAGAUCUGAAGCUUGCUUUCCGAGCAAUAAAACUUGAAGGUAACAAUUUCAUACAUAUCCCUGAAAACUAGUUAUCUGAAACUCAUCGGUCUAAACUUCAUAUUUGUGUAUUUAUCUUCACAAGUUAAAAUCAAAAGAACUCUCUUUUGACCGCUGGCAGGUAAAUCAUUCACGGUGGAUUCUUUAUUAAUGAAAGGACAGUUCUAACCUUUCAAAAUGUCGCUUAAAAAUGUUUGAUUGGGAGAUUGAACAGAGAAAAUGCAUCCAAUAUUUGGGGCCAAGGCUAAGGUAAAAUGGUUUGCAGAGAAAAAAGGAGAUGUGAUACCCUUAUUAGCCUCUUGAAUACGACAGUCAAAACAAUUUCCUCCAAGCAUUUAAAAGGCGAAGAAGUGAUUUGGAGAAAUAGGGGUCAAUUCCAGCCAAUGAACUACCAUUAGUUAAAAGAGAUGUGUAAAUCUAUAUUCAUAUUUCAAAUUUAAGUGAAUAAAGAGACUAAUCUCAUGUAACAUUUGCAGGGAUACAUUUGUGAAUGCCCCAGAAGUAUAUUAAUUGGCAAUUAUGGAGUCAAGGACUUAUGUUUGGAUAUAUUUGAUGUAUCCCUACUUAUUAGACUUUUUCCUAGUAUAAAAGAAUUGAGUUAGGAUCCAUACACAUACAAAAUACAAAUGGUAUACAAAAAAAAAAAAAACUCCUUUUCUUUAAAGUAGUCUAGUAUAUGGAAGAGAAAGAUAGCUUCUAAAAUGCAGUUUUAGAACUCACUCAGGUAAAAGAAGGAUAGUUUAAUGAAUAUCAUUCUAUAGCUCUCCCAGGUUAACCAUCCUCCUUUUGUGAAACUCCCAGGGGUUUAAUAAUCUUUCUCAGGUCUCCAAGCAAAUCAUAAUCACCUUUUGAUAGCAUAAAGUGAGAUUUAGACUACUACUAAAACACUACAUCUACUCUAAUUCUUUAACUUUCAUUUGGAACAUGUAAUAAACAAACAUUAGUACAACCAAGUGCUUAAGCUACACCUACAUAGACAGCCUUGCCCUGGUGCAAAAGAAAACUAACCCCACACGAAUAAGAGAACAUUCAUGAUACAAUUCUCUGGCUAACGAAGAUGCAGAAUUACCUCCGAUAGCCAGCCAUCAACCACAAAAAUAUCUAACGAGUAACCGUCAUUAGUGGAAAACGCAUGUGCUUCUCGAAUGCUGAGACCAACUUCAGCAAGCAAGGAAGUUAACUAGGAAGAGAAAAAUAAUACCAAAAUUAAUAUCACGAGAAUAUGUGAAAUAUACUUGUUCAAUGAGCCAUAUUAUGAUUUCAAUUUUGAAAAAAGAGAUCAAUCACCUGACUAAGAAGCUUUGGCUUAUCAUCUGUUGAAAAAGUGAUCUCGUGUAUAGGCCUACAAGAACAUCAAAUAUCAGAAAUUAGGAGCGUGGACAAGUAUACUAAGGAAAAAAAAGAAAAGAGAAACACUCCAUAAGUUGAUAUAUGCUUAAAUACAUAAUAAAUAAAUUAAUAUCUAAAUGGAACUUAAUUCAUGCUUUAUGUAGUUCAAUACAAAUUUUAUGGUAAAGUGUAAUCAGAAACAACUCUAACCAAUCCUCAAAUACUAAUUCUCAAGUUGAUCUUCCUCCAAUUUCCAAAUCAUUAUUCUAUGACUCCAAUUCAUGAAUUCCUAGAUUUCUUCUCCAUUUCUUUGAUAAAUCCGUGGUCCUGAGCUUACCAAGAAUUUCCCACAUCAUCUAUUAAGUCUAAACUAGCAUCCCACGCUCAACAAUUAAAAUAAUAAACUAAAGAAGCAUAUUACAAACCAUUCUUUUGGUGGAGCCCUCAUAGGGACCAAUACUGCACAUUAUGUUGAACGAGUUGCUUACAAGAAUUAUCUUAUCAGGUUGCAGAAUACAACUCCUAGAAGUCACUAUCAUAACAAAAUAGACAAGAAUUAUCCAGCCUCUCGGACGAUAUAGAAAGAAAGCAUUAAUAUAUUACGGACAAAGCAUUUAUAUUACAAAGCUGUAAAUGGCCGUUUCAGUGACAGAUGGGCUGCUAGAGUUUCUUCAGCAGUUUUGGCGACAUCAGAAGAUUCAAGCGGCCUAAUAAGUCUCAAACUCACAUGUACCACAAAUAGGGAAAAUGAAGAAUAAUCUUAAAACAUGAAUAUAACAAUGUUUCAAAUUUUCAAUGCAUAACUGUGAUUCUGAAGCCUUUUUUUUUUUGUUGUUUCAGCAGCUUCUACCUGAAAGCCAAUUACAUGAAAUGCAAUUUAGCAAAUUAUAAAGUAUAUCAAACAAUGUACUUGUCUUGCUUGUGGCUAAGAAUUCAGUACAUAAAGAAAAGUGGAAUGUCUAGACAUCCAAUGAAAUUACCUCCAAGUUUUAGAGGCACAAAUUAUAAAGUAGGAUAAACACCGCAUCCUUCCACCACUAAAUUCAUCCAGACCAAACGCUACAUGGUUCACGCAAACACUAGCCAUGUAAUAAUAGUUGUUAAUUAUGCAGAUGAAAUUUCAACUAAGCAAAAGAUUUUCGGAAGCCAAGAAACACAGACUAGUAGAGCUAAAAUCUGAUAGUAAAAUAAAACAAGCAAAUAGAACUCUAAGGUGGAUUUCUCUAAUCUCAAAGGCAAAAAAUGAUUUAAUUAUCUAAAUAAUGUGAAUUAUUUAGCAUGAAAGUAUUAGUUGAAAAAAUGACCUGAAAGAGUGCCGGUAAGAAUGAACAGCUCUAUCUCCAUCUUGAACCUGUUGGCUAUCAACGUCAAGAGCCAAAGCUUUAUGAUCCGAUGAUAGAGCGAAGGCCGGAUAGAAAUAAAUGCUGAAGAAUGGAUCAAAUAAGAGAAGAGAAGACAUGAAAUCAAGAUAAAACUACGUAAUUGAAUGUGCAAAGCAGAAAAUGAGAAACAUUAUUUUCAAAAGGAAACCACAAUAAGAAGAGCCAUAAGCACCUUUGUUCAUUGCCCGCAUAUGGAAAAUGUUUCACAUUUUGCUCCUCCUGCCUAUUAGAAUGAGAAGUCUCAUGUUUGACCAUACUGUGAAUAUUCAUUACCUGAAAAGAAACUCUUUCUGAUAUAAAUAGCAAAUUCAAAGAUAUUAAACUAGAAUUUGGCACUGUUAUAAGAACUAAAAAGAAGUAUGCAUGUGAUGGCUUUCUUCAAGAUUCACAAAAUCCAUUUGACCUAAUGGCCUAAUAAAAUUAGACUGUUUACCUCCUAAGAUCUUGAUUGAUUCAAAAGGCACCAAAUCUUGGUUUCAAUUCCGAAAUUUCAUGGAAGCAAUUGGGGAGCAUAAACUACAACUUAUUACGAAAUUUACUUUCAUAAGUACACCAAGCAAACUUAUACAAAUAGGCAAUAACAAUAACCGCAGUUAAUUUAAAUACUUAAACAAUAAAAUUGAGAAAUAAAGAAUGCAUCAUAAAUCACAUCCAAUUAUGACAAGCUUCACACUUUUCGAUUAGACAUUACUACAUUAUGCUGAAAAUUCAUCUCCACGUGUCUUACCUUCCUAAAAGUAAUCUAAAGAGUUUACAUGCACAUACCAUACUCAGAUUUAGGAAAAACAUAGAGAAUCACCAAGCAACCAGAAAAUAAAUGUAACCAAAGAUUAGACGCGGCAAUAAGAGGAUAAGACCUUCACCAUUAACGAGAAGUUUAAAUGUUUUACUUUCAAUAGACUGAAGAGAUCAUAACUCAAAAGAAGCUUAUAUUUUCUCUGGUUUUAUCAGACCCAAAACAGUAAUAACUCAUAGGCCAACUGUGAACAACCACAUGUUUGUUGUAAACCUUUCGGCAGCUUUCUAAACUUGAAAACAAGUUCAAGAAAAAUCAUUUGCUGUGUUGGUUUUCUACAAAGGAGGCAUGUGAUCAUGUUUCACUUUUCAUGAUUGUCUUCCAAAGAAUUUUGAGAGUCCUUUCGUGGACAGCAAGGCAUUAUGGUCGGAAGUAAAUUAGAAUAUUAUCAGACAAAAUAAGAAGUCGUAUAGACCCCUCAGACAAGAAAAGCAUAAAUUCCCAUAGUAAGCCAAUUAACUACAGUAAAGAAGAUGGAAGGAUCUUAGAAAUUAGCACUGGUAUAGUCAUAUGCUCAUACCUGGACAAGACGAACCUCAAAAGCGGGCCUGUUGGCAGGAUCGCACGCCUGCUGCAGCAACCUCUUGUGCAUCAAGACAUCUUCUGCUCUCUCUACAUUUACAUCCAAUGCAUAUCUAACCAAGAAUCACAAACAAGAUAUUCAUCAAGGAACCCAGUAAGACAAUCAUAUCAUUGUAUCGUCACAGAUCUACAUAUAACCCAGGCCACAAGCCAGAAGGAAAAAAAAUUAAAAUAUAGCAAUAAGAUAGACAACACUUCAAGAAAGUCGCUCGCUCCACGAAUAGAAGUUACCCAGUUCUGUUAAUUGAACACUUUACCACACAUAGCUACAAGCUAGAUAGAGACAUAAAGUGGCAAACAGUAACUUCAAGAAAAAUCACCGAAUGGCUUGAUCCAUAGGCUAACAUUAGGCAGGUUAUGAACCGAUAAAAAAAAGGAAUCCUAAACCAACAGAUUCAAGAAAGCCUUUAUUGAAUAAGAAAUCUAGCAGAGGAAGUUAUUCGCGAUCGCGGAUGAUAUUCACACCGAAAAAGGAAACGGAAAACAACGAACAACACAUUAGAGGAAGAGAUUAUCGCCUCGUGAUCAAGCCCACGGUCUAAAAUCUCGGUGACUUCGAGCCGUUCCCUACCACUGAUCAAACUAAGAAGAGACGACAAGAAGAUGACGAACGUUUCGAAACCGAAAACAAGAACUAUCAUGCAAGAACUAACGAAUAAAAAAAGGAGAUCGAGACCUGGGAGGGAGGCGGUCGAAGUGCGCCAAGAGCUCGCCGUCGAAGGCCGGCGAAAGCGCUUCGGGACACCCGGAGCUCUUGAGGCGGCGGAGCACCUCGUUGUAGACCUCCACCUUCCGCCGCCGCCCGCGGUGGCGCGACGGCGAUCCCUCCCGGGCGCCGGAGCUCCCCGCGCCCUCCGUCGCCAUCCAAGGACCUCCGAUCAAACCCUAAUCCAAUGCGAAAGCAAAAAAAAACCGAAAUGAACGAAGAGGAGAACGAGAAUAAGCCGCUCCACCGCCCUCUCGGAUCCUUCACGAGCUCUACCUCGCCUUCUCGAUCUCCUCGUCCUCGCGAUCGAGGCGUGAUUGGACAGGCUAGGGUUUCGAGCUCCGCGUGGAGAGAGGAGCGGGGGAGACGAGAGAGAUAGGGAAGAGGAGUUUGGUAGGAACGCGAAGAAGAAAACGAAGAGACGAGAAGGAGAAGAAGAGAGAUACGAGCCCGGGGAGAGAGGAAACAAAAAAGAGGUGGGCCGGAGGAUGAGACGAGGAGAAGGGAAGCAGCGAGCCAACUUGGUUUUACGAAGUGUUGUCCGUUACUUUAUUAUUUAUAGGAAUGGAGGAGCAAUGGUGCCUUAGAGGUGAAUAUGAUAUUAGAAAUUAUUAAAGAGUUAAUGUAUGUAAUAAUAAUAAUAAUAUUAUUAUUAUAUUAUUAUAUCAUUAUUUAUGGGUUCAGCAUAUAUGGUUAAAUGAAUCUGGACAUUCCAGCUGUUUACGUGCGGUGAGAUUAGUAAUCAAGUUCAAAAUUUGAGGGAAUUGAACAAAUUUAACGCCGAUAAGUUUAUAAAUCUCACUAAUUAUAUGUAAAGAUAAAUGUAAAUUGGCAAUUUUAGCUUCGUCCCCCGACUAGUACUAUAGUUCAUCUAGUUGUGGUUCGUGGUUGAAAAACGAACAACAGUUUGUAACAAAUGGAAUGGAGGCUCCAUUUCAAAAUAGCCAGUUGUCGAGGGGUUAUCCACUUGUUUUUAUUUCAGAUCCUAUCUAAAACUUCCAACCAAUAGAUCUGCCGCCCAGCAGAAAGACAUAACCCGUUAACAAACCUAUACUUUUGUCCAAAUCACCAGUAUAGUCGGAAUCUACAAAUUCCUUCACUUUACCAUAACCGAAAUUUUUUGAGUAGAGGAUACAUUUAUUUGAUAUCUCUUUCAAAUACCGCAAAAUUCACUUCACGACCUCCAAGUGCUAUUUUUUUGGAUUCGAUAUAUAUUGACUAAUAACAGUAACUGCAUGUAAAAAAUCAGACCUAAUACAAAGUAUAGCAUAUAUCAGGCAACCGACUGCGCUAGCGAAUAAAUGUAUAAAUAUCUCAUUCAGUAUAUUUUCUAAUUCAUUUGAGAAACGAAGUAGUUCGGUAGCUACUUCGUUUUCUAUAACUAUAAACUAUAAACCCAUCCCCGUGGGAAUAUUUUUUUUCCGACUCAACCACGGUUUAUUACUUCACCCGUGUUGCCUAGUUCAUAUUUUCACUGAAUGAAGCAGAUAGCAUGCUACCUUUUUCCGUAAAAAAAAAAAAAAUUCAAUGAGCAAAAAUUAAAUUCUUGAUUAUAACCAGAGAAGAAAUUUUUUUAUUAUUAUAUAAAUUAUUUUUGGAUAGCUUAUUCCAACGUUCAAAUAGAGCUUGAGAUUUCAUGGGUUAUUUGGAUGUCAGAAUAAGUUAUCUUAAUAUGAACAAAAAUUUUUUUAGUAUGAUAGUAAGUAAAAAGUUUAAUUCUCUCCAUCUUUAAAGAUCUUGCUAUUCAUAAUUUUGUAGAAUAGUUUAUUUCACCUACAAUGUAAUUUAUUUCAUUCGGAAAAAAAUAACUUGAAGUCUAAAUAUGAUAUUUCAUUUUAAAUAUUUAAUUCACUCUUUAUCAACCAAAUGUACAAAAUUUUUAAAUAAAUUAAGAAAAUAUAUCUAACAAGGUAUUACUAUAUCCAAACUGGGUCUAUUUGUUUUUAUUUAUUUAUGCCUUUACACAUUUUUUUGGAUGCCUGAAUAAAAUACCCAAUCAUUUCUUAUUUGAUUUGAAGAUUUUUUGUGUGAUUGGAAGUUAAAAGUUUAAAUUUUCUGUUAAGAAGGUCUUGACAUUUAUAAUUUAAUAGGGUAGCAUAUUUUGUAUACAAAAUAAUUUAUCUUAUUAUAAAAAAUUAAUUUUAAGGUUAAAUAUGAUAUCCAUUUUAGGCAUUUAAUCAUACUCCUUAUUAACUAAAUACUAUAUAUUUUUAAAAUAAAUUUAAAAUUAUAUAUAAGAUAAGAUGUUAUGUAUCUAAACAAAGGCCUUUGUUUUUUGAUUCAUAAUUUUCAUGAAACAAAAAAAAUCUUCUAUGCUGCUCUAUCAAGUAUUGAUGCCAUAUGCUUUUCUUAUAUUUUUUAAAAAAAGAUAAUCAGGCAUGCGCGAAAAUACAAGAACAUAAUUAAAUAUAUAACAAAUUUCAACAUAUAUUUGGUAAUGUUUUUUGUGGGGAAUGUUUGAGAGAUAGUGGGGAGUUAGACCUAGUUUGAUAACGUGAUAGAUAAAAAUAUAUCUAUUUUAUAUUCUAAAAGGUUCAAGAUUCUAAAUUAUUUUAAAUUAUUUUUUUUGAUGUUAUAAAAUUGCAAUAACAACAACCACCGAAAAGGCAUAAAAUGUUGAAAGGUUAAAAGUGCUUUAAAAUUUUUGGACUAUCUAAAAUACAAAAUAAGUAUUUUUAGCCACUACAUUAUAGGUCUUAAAAUACAAACACUUAAUUACCAAAUAUAUAGUUUGGGGAAGAAGAGGCAAUAUAGUACUUCAUUAGGCUUUAAGAAUCUGGAAUGUCCUAGUUUCUUAUCAGAGGGACUGUUUGGAUGUACAGUAAAAAAUCUCUACGAAGUUUAUAGAAAUUUAUAAACCACUGUGGUUUUGGUCUAAAUGAAAUAGGGAAUUCUGUAACUCUAAAAAAUUCCACGGAUUCAAUUUUCAAACUGUUUGGACGCGCAUUAUGUAAUUUCACAGGAUUUCUUUAAAUUUUAAAAAUAAAAGUUAAAAUUUAAAAUUUAAAAUUUCAAUAAAAAUUUAAAAUUUAAAAUUUGAUAUGUGAAAUUUUAAAUUUUAAAUUUUAAAUUUUAAAUUUUAAAAUUUAAAAUUUUAAAAUAAAAAAUUUAAAAUUUAAAAUUUAAAAUAUAAAAAUCUAAAUUUAAUUUUUAAAUUUUAAAAUUUAAAAUUUUAAAAUAUAAAAUUUAAAAUUUAAAAUUUAAAAUUUAAAAUUUGAAAUUUAAAAUUUAAAAUUUAAAAUUUAGAAUUUAAAAUUUAAAAUUUAAAAUUUAAAAACUAAAUUUGAAAUUUGAAAUUUGAACUAUGAGAUUUGAGAUUUGAAAUUUAAAAUUUGAAAUUUAAAAUUUAAAAUAAAAUUUUAAAUUUUACAUUUUAAAUUUAAAAGUUAAAUUUGAAAAUUGAAAAUUGAGAAUUAAAAUUUGAAAUUAUAAAUUAUAAAAUUUAAAAUUGAAAUUUAUUGUUUGAAAACUAAAAUUUAAAAUUUGAAUUUAUAAAAUUAGAAAAUUUGAAAUUUAAAAUUUGACAUUUAGAUUUUGAAAUUAUAAAAUUUAAAUUUUUGAUAUUUAAAACUUAAAAUUCUAAUUUUAAAAUUAAAAAUUAAAAAUUUGAAUAUAAAUUAAAUUAUAAAAUUAAAAAUUUAAAAUCUAUGUUGAAAUUUAAAAGUUAAAACUUGAAGCAUUUUUGGAAUAAUGGAGCCCAAGAAUGGCGGAAUUCUUUUUCUUUAGUUAGAGUGGAUUAUAAUUUUACUUCAUUUUAUGGAGUAUAGUUUAACUAUAUUUCAAAAAUUAUGUUACUUUUUUUUUUUCUCCCAAACGCUUUAUAGGAUAAUUUUCCUACCAGUAUAGCAUAAUUUAACUAUACAAUAUUUUCAAAGGUAUCCAAAGGGGGCCUUAAUCUUAGCUCAAGGAGAACCAAGGAUAAAAAAUCAGGUACAUAUUCCAAAUUUACAACAUCAUUCAAUCCUGAUAAAGGGGCUUAAGAAUCAUACAAUUAAUUAGUUUCAUCCAGCAGGAUUCCAUUGGAUUAUUCAAAAGUCAUUUACUUUAGAAUAUGCUGUUUCAAUCUUAGUAGCAUAGCUUAGAUCUACUUAAUUAAUAUAGCCUGGAAUAUGCUUUUCUGAAUAACAACAUAAGGAGAGUGUGGUUAUAUUACAGAAAGUGGUGUGUACGUACGAAUGCACGCAGGUUGUUCGAUUAUCCAAUCUGUUGUAUAACUUUUGUUGCAGGCUAUUUAUAUUGCAGUGUUAAUUUGUUUUAGGCUGUCAAAUGAGUUAGCAGCUUUCCUCAGCUCUUUGUGUGGCCAUAUUUAUAUUGCUAUUUAUAUAUGUAUUUUUUUAGCUUUCAAAACAACAUGUACUAAAUAUUGAAUAUCUCAUCAUUUAAUAUUUAAGACAUGCAGAAAUAUAAAGGAAAUUAAGUAGCAUCAUGAACUAUUUACUUUAAGUAACAAGGAGGAUUACUUUGGUAAAUAUUUUUGACUAAUGAAGUCGAUCCAAAGCUAAAGCUAGCUUAUAGUACUACUAGACAUGUAUUAAUUAACAUAUAUACAACAUGCCAAAAAGCCUACCACUAUAACGUACGGAUAGUAAUGCAUGCACAUGCUAACCCCCGCCAAUAUUUAACCCUUAGUUUUAAUCACAACUAUCCGGUAAUAAAAAUAGAUGAAAAAUAAAGCAUGGUAAUUAAAUUUCUCCUCAAAAAAAAAAGGAAAAAAAAAGUCAUUAGAUGAGUAAAUGUUGAAGUAGGAUUAUCCUUCAGAAAUGAAGGCCAAAUCUAAUUAAAUCGUUAUCCAAACCGCUAUCAAAAUGGCUCAUUUUGUAAUACUUCUAAUACUUCUACCUCUGCCUUUCGGUCGCUUGGCCGUUGCCUCCCCUUUUGUAAUUGUUCUUAUUCCGUUUCGCUUUUCCACUUUUACUCACUUUGUUUUCGCUUGUUGUUCUUCUCCUUUGUCUUUUUUCUCUUUAGGAGGUUCUCGCUGUACUCCACCUUGUAAGUUUAAUUCAUUUUCCUAAUAAAUGAAGUAGAUAGCUUGCUACCUUUCUCUCUCUCUCUCUCUAAAAAAAAAAAAAGCUCAUAACGAAGAGACAAGUGCAUGCACAAUCAAAUAGGGUCCACAUUCAACAAUUAUUUUCUAGAUUAAGUUUAAUAUGUGUAGCAUUUAAAUGCAAAAUGUCGUGUUCGAAUAUACAUGUAGGAUGACAUAUAGACCACCAUAACGUUUUAUUAUGACCAUAUAUGCGUGCUAUUACACAUCAAACUUGGGCUAGGUUGCGCGCGCGCGCGCGUUGGCGCGUGUGUCUGUGUGUGCGCGCGCGUGUGCGCUUGUGCAUGCGCGUGUGUAGAUAUAUAGAGUACGUAGGUCUUGUAUGCUAUUAGGAGUACAGAGGUUUUGAAUCGUUUUCGAUGAUAAAAUUUGCAAAUCGAUAAUUGGUUCCAUUAAACUUGAUUUAUCAUAUUUGAAGUAUCUAAAAAAUAAAUUUUGUGAUUUUUUAACAUUAUUUAUCUAGCGAUCGAAAAGGUUCAAACUCACCGACUCUUCCUAGCGCAAAUGGCAAAGGGCUUAGUGGUCCCAAGUUCGAAUCCUAAUUGAUUCACAUUAUCACAUUUCCAGCUAAGUUUAUUUCUAAAUGAAAUAAAUAAAGCGGGUAGCACGCUACCUUUCUCUCAAAAAAAAAAGAAAAUAAAAAUCUCAUAAAAAGUAGUGAUAUAACAUUAAAAUUUUCGAUCGAAAUUAUUGAUCUUGCAGUAAAUAGUAUAAAAAUUUUUCUAUCAAAAUUUCAUCUGAUUUGAAUAUUUUUACACCGUUAAACUUGCAAACGAUAUAUAUCAAUAAUUAAAAAUUAUUGAUUUUGACCCCUUUCGAUCGUUAGGUAAAUGAUAUUGAAAAUCGCAAAAUUUAUUUUCUAGAUACUUCAAAUAUGCUAGAUCAAAUCUAACGAAACCGAUCGCCGAUUCAAAAGUUCCAUCAUCGAAAACGGCUUAUCAGCACAGAGCCUUUCGAUCUCCUAAUUGCACACAAAACCUACUCUCUCUCUAUAUAUAUAAUUAAUAUAGUAGUCGGACUAUAUAGAAUUAUACUAUUAUACUAUCGAUAGUAUAUAUAAGUGCUUGAUGUUAUCAAGUUUCCGACUGUUGAAUGAAAAGAUGUGCGGUUAAGAUGAUAAAGGUCCCCUAAAGUUAAGUGGGUGGUUGGUUGAAUAGUAUAAUUAAUCUAACGAAUAGAAAUGAUUAAAGGAUAAAUCUAAUGAUAGAAAACUCGAUAAUACCAAAAAAUUUGGUAUUAUCGAUAGUGUAGUAAUCUCUCUCUCUCUCUCUCUCUCUCUCUCUCUCUCUAUAUAUAUAUAUAUAUAUAUAUAUAUAUAUAUAUAUAUAUAUAUAUAUAUUCUCAGAAUAUGCGACUUCUCUUGAGCUCCUACAAUAAUAUUAAAGUGGUACUAUGGAUAAGGUUAUUUAAACAGUAGCUCUUAUAUCUAGGAGUAGAUAGAAGUAACGUUGGGAGAAUAUAUUAGUUGGCUACUAAUUUUUUAGAAAACAUGGUGGAGGAUACGAUGAAGAAUAUGCCAACAAACGCUGAGAAAUUUAAAGGAUAUGCUUGAUAAAUUAAAAGUCAUAAUGCAUAGUAAAAUAUGGAAAUAUUAAAACAUAGUGAUCCAUGGAUGGCGGGAGCGCGCACAUCGGAAUGUAGGUAAUGUUACAGUAAGGGAUUCUUUACAUAUCAGACCAAGUUAUUCAAAAUUACCUUAUUAUUUUUGCAUGAUGACAAUGGGAGCGUCACUUCCAUGAUUAUUCAUUAAGAUUAGCAGCUUGAGUUUUGCAUGUAUGCAUGCAUGGCAACCAGUUACAUAAAUGAUGAGAAAUCCCACUUUCCUUCCAUCUAUGCUUAGGCUAGUUGUUCCUUCUUUCUUUCUUCCUUAAAAAAAUCUGGAACGUGAGCAGAAAAUGGACUGAAUUUUACAGCUCUUAAGGACUUGAUUUUUAGUGAGGAGUAGAAUUAGUAAUUUUUCUACGAUUUUUUUNCAAUUGGGUCUUCUCUUACUAGAGUUCUUGAGUUUAGCAAUUUUAUUUUUUGGAGAGAUAGAUAGCACGCUACCCGUUUUAUUUAUUUUAUUUAGAAAUAAAUUUAGUUAGAAAUAUGAAUCAAUUAAAAUUCGAACUUAGGAACUCGGGUACCAACGACCAAACUCGGCCCUUUGCCACUUACUCUAGGGACAGUAGAAAUUUUUAGAGAGAAGAUUAUGACAGAGACUAUAUAUAUGUUUUCAUAGAAAAACUUCUCUUACGAUGAGUUUUGAGUGAGGAGCAGAAUUAGUAAUUUUUCUACGAUUUUUCUUCUUUGCCUUUUGUUUUGUCCUUUUGGUUUGAUUGCCUUCAAUAGUUUUCGAGACCGUGUUGUCUCAAUCCAUGUAGUAAAAUUUAUUUGCUAAAUGAAUAAAGCGGAUAUUAUAUUACCUUUUUCUCUCUCUCUCAAAAAAAAGAUGAGUUUGACACUUAAUUGAGGCGGAACGUGAUAAAUAAUUAUUGACAAAAAUUAUGGCAGAGAUUAUAUGUUAUCAUAGUUUCAAGCUGAAGUGGUUAAUUUGGGUUUUGAAGUUUGGCUUUAACUCACCUGUUGAGCUUCGAUUUUUCACCCUAAAAUUCGGCCUAAUUUGCAUUUAAUAUCCACCCAACGUUUGACCUUGAUUUCAGACCUGUCCGCGAAGUUUUAACUCAAACAAUUAAAUAUUUAUCUUAUGCUAAUAUGCCAGUUAGCUUUCUUUUGCCAACUAUUUAGGUUGGAAAUGUGAGAGAGAAAACGUGGGUAGUUUUUUAUAUUUAUAGAAGAUAAAAGAAGAAUAAAAGAGGUUCAGAAAGAGAUUUGAGUUGAAACUACUUUAUGUAUAAGAAGAGUCGGAUGUAAUCUUAUUUCCAGUGCAUAGUAAAAGAGUCAGGUGUAAUCUUAUUUUGAUUAAUGAAUCUUAUUUUAUUUAUAUUUUGCAUAGUAAAAGAGUCAGGUGUAAUCUUAUUUUGAUUAAUGAAUCUUAUUUUAUUUAUAUUUUUCGUUUAUUUUUUUUUCUUUUGUGAUUGUGUCAUUCAAUUGCUGAAAAGGCGAGUUUAUAAUAAAAAUUCUAAUAAUCAAUGCUGCACCAAGUACUGAACAGGUAAUGAGGUGAGAAUAACAAUAAAUUAUUUUUCAACAUUUUUUUAAAAGAGAAAGGUAGUAUAUAACUAUUUUGUUCAUUUUUCUGUGUAGUAAUGAACUUAGCUGUAAAUAUAAAAUAAUUUCAAAUACCAAUCAUCGAACUUUUUAUUAUAUUAUUUACGCUAGAGCCUAUCGGCUAUUUUUCGGCAGAACUAAAAGCAACAAAUUGAAGAUACGGUAUUCAAAAUUCAUGAUCUCAUUCAUGUAGUCUACUAACUUUUGCUUGGCGAAAAACAAAAAGUAGGAGGAUGAGCGGGGGCAAAUUAAUAAGCCCUAACAUAAUAACCUGAUAAAGAGAAAGUGGCUUUUCGACACCUUGAAGAGCCGGGGCCAUUUUAUAGAGUAGGGACCAUCGCAAACCAGAUAACGUUCAUAUUCGUAUUCCUAACGUUCUUAUACUGGGACCGUUAGAUUACUUCUCUCGUUCUCCUCUUUUUUCUCUCACUCGAGUGGGAUGUCACCUAACCAAUAACACGUGGCCACGUUGACGCUGACUUGGCUCAUCAGUCGAUUUGUGGUGAAAUACGCUCGAAAAUUCUUCACAGCACACUUGAAAAAACAAACUUUGGCUGCAUGCUAGAUCAUCACUCUCUCUCUCGUACAGUUUGGUUGAUAAAUUAAAUCAUUUAUUGACUCUCCGACCGCGUCUUUGUUAAAGGAUGAUAUAUAUAUAUAUAUACAAGGAAUUCUUGAAACAGAAUCAAAGAAUUUACUCAAAAAAAUCAACAAAGGUACGCUAUCAACUUUUUUUUUGCUGAAUAAUUGCUACCAAAUGCUUUUUGCUUAAUUUCGCUUUCAUUAGGUUACCAAGUUGUCGCCAAUCUUGUUUGUUCAUUAUCCUAAUAAAUGAAGCUGAUUGAGAAUUUCAUCUUGACCAGUUAUCCGUUUCGGCGGGGUUUCUAAUGCAAAUCCCACACUCGAGCAAAUUUGAAACAAAUAUACGGACUCUAGCUGCAAAGGACACUGUUGAGGGGAAGGCAAUGUAAAAGCUAUUUACCACACUGUAACUGAGAACCAGAAUCCACUAUGAACAUGCUUUAGCAGCCCAUGGGCUACGAUUAACCACGGCCCAAUCGGUAGAUGGCUAGAGCUUCCACACCUUUGUAGCCCUCGCAUAAUAUCUUUGCCAUUUUCUCUUUCUAACUACGUAAGUUACACAGAAUAGUACAGGAGGAAAUUGUGGAAGGACAUGGCUCAAACAAAAACAUGCCGGUGCAAAUCGACAAGAGCCACGGUCCAGUGAGUGAAUGAACUUAUAUUCGUGCGCAAUAUAAUUUCCAUUUCCGUACAAGGGUUACCAAGCGAAGUACUAAUCCUUAUAGCCACGGUGGUUAUGUAAAUUUUUUUUUCGCUCUCAAAACUUACAUUAAAAAAAAAAGGCAUCGUAAACAAAUCAACUAUUCCAACAAGAGAUAAGAGUCCUUUUGUCCAUAUCCAAUUGCACAGAAUUAGCGUUAAUACAUACACAUACAUAGUUGAGCUGGAAUGCAGUCGGUAGUAAACAGGCUCCGUUGCCAUCUAUUUGUUUUCGAUGACCGAGCUUUCAAAUCGACGAUCGAUACGGUUGAAUAUGAUCUAAUCUAUAAACCAAAUUUUAAAUCUUUUCGACAUCAUUGACCUGAUAAUCAAAAAUUUUUAAAAAUUAUAAUUUUAAUGAUAGAUACGAGACGUUUUCUUAUUUAAUGGUACAAAACUAUCCAAAUUAAUUAAAUUUUGAUUAAAAAAUUCUUUAAACUAUUUAGAACAAAAUCUAUACUCUCGAUCUUAAUUACAAAAUUCCUAUCAUCACUUUUUAAAGAAUAUUUAUUUUCAGUUAUUUAUUUUUACGCCCACUUGAUAGACAAAAAAAUAAUAUCGAAAAAAUAUAAAAUUUGACUUUUAAAUACUUUUGAGUGGCGUAAAUCAAUUUCAACGGUGCCAAUUGUCGAUUUGAAAGUUUCAUCAUCGAAAAUAAAUGAAUGACAACAAAACUCGUUUGCUAUCGAUAUUAUUCCACUUCAACUUUAUAUAUAUAUAUAGAGAGAGAGAGAGAGAGACUUAACUUACAGCGGACCGACCAAAGACGCGACCAAACCCAAGAGCAAACGCAAGAGCAACAGGCCCGAACCCAGAUUCCAAGCCACCAACUUAAGCAUACAGUACGCAAAAAAUUGUUUGGAAAUGAAACAUGUACCAGCAAGAUCACCAAAUGCUAGUUCAGGAGUCUGCCCCCACCCCACAAAACACACACACACACACACACACACACACACACACACACACAAAACAAAUUCACAGCAAGCAAUAAAGGAUUACAAAGCCGCAAAUCUUACCAUACAUGCAUCACCGCUCCAUGUCAUAAUCGUCAUCACUUCUGUACUCACCUUCAAGAAGCCACUGCUCGAGUUCAUCCACCUCAUCCUCCUCAAUCUCAUGCCUAUACCAUCCAAGUGACGAAUCCCAAUACACAGCCCCCAGCUCCUCACCACGGCAAGCCAUGUGCAGGAAAGGCCGACUCCUAGCUAGGGCAUCUACCAUGUCCCUGUUCAAGCUCCCUGUCACCCCGAGCCACCUCAACCGUGGGAAGUAUGGCUUCUUAAACCAUCGGAAAGAAAGCGGCGUGAUACCUCCACAGUCAUAUAGAUCUAGCAAGUGCAAGCUACUCCCGUGAGACCCGCCCUCGACUUGCAUUGAAGCUAAGGCCAUGACCGAAGUGUCCCCUAUGUGCGCACACUCUCUAAUUCGGAGCUCAACAAUUGGAAUUCGACUUCUCGCUAGCCGUAAGAUACCAUUGUCGGUGAGAUUAGGAAGCUUCGAUAUAUCCAAUACUUGCAGACUCAAUCUUGUGGAACCACCCAAUAGCAAUGUGAUACCAUCGUCUGUCAGUCUUCUGCACCCUCUUAGAGACAACGAAACCAGCGGGCAUUUCCCGCUACCAAGAUAAGAUAACCCUAUAUUAGUGAUGUCCAUAUUGUCUAGUAGUAGUACCUGCAACUUUGGGAGGCAGCUUAGGGCUCUUAAAGCCACAUCACCCACCUUUCGGCAGUCUCUUAGGUCCAAUACAUUCAGAUCUUUAUUACAUGACAACCCUAAAAUCCCAUGAUUGGUUAAGAGAUUACACCACCUCAAGCUAACAUGUGUUAAAGAAAGAGAGGUGGCAGAGAUGUCAUGGAAAACCAGAUCAGUCAGCUGGCUUCCGUGGGACACCCUAAGCUUGCGAAGGCUCGAGCAUGAGUGUAUUAUCGCCCUGAGACCAGUAUCUGUAACACGAGAGAAGCCACCAAGAGAAAUACUUUCGAGUUUCGAGCAGGUAUCAGCCAUCAAGAGAAUUCCAAGAUCAUUUACUCGUCGAAAGUAGGUGAAUAAGAACUCUUGGCUUCGGACAAGAGAAAUGUGCUUCAGUUUACCACGUGGAUUGAUUUGCUGAAGGCCUGCAUUGGUGAGAUCGGAAGAUGAUAUGGGUUCUAUGAUAGGAGCAUCCUGAAGAUCCAAAUGUGUUAAGGCCGGAAGGGCCUUUGAUAUAGAACUGACCAACUGAUCUGUGAUGUAGUCUACCGAGAGGCAUAGCUUUUGAAGGCUAGGAAAGAAUGGCGGUAUAGUACGACCUAGAGAGUGCUGUGACUCAGCCGUUAUACUCAAGAGUUUGACCAACAUGGAUAUAGGGAUGUAACCAAUCUCAAGAGAAGAAAGUCUCUGAGAGGCAGAAGCCCAUGCUUGCCCAAAUUUAGUAUCGUCGAAUGAUGAAGCAUCAACUGCUAAGCUCAAAGACUAGCAAAAGUAGAGAAUACAUAUCAGAGUGAUGGUAGGGAAUCCUGAUCAUAACAAAGGAAUAGUCACAGCAGUAAUAAGCUACAAGAAGUAGGAAAAACAUGCAUCAAGAUUUAACAAGAAUACACUGUAGCUAACUGAGGUGUUUAAAGCGAACUCUAUUAUAUUACAAAAUGCACUAUGUAAAACUUAGGCAUUUAUACUAAAUAAUAUAAAUAAUUCAGAAGCAUAAAACACAGGGGACCUAAGUUUCUAGACAGUUGCAUACAUAGGCACUUCGGUAAAGAAUAUUAUACCAAGGUAACUAAGGAAGCUACUAAUUUGGGCACAUCCAUGUCAUUAUGAUCCAUUAUCCGGGCCCAUCUAAUACUAAUUCACAAUUUCAUGCAACACUCGUAAUUCAGAAAGCUAAUGCUAUAAUGUAGGAAGGCGUGUGUGGACUAGGGCCUAAGCAGCUUGGAGAGACCAUAGAUGGACAUAGCGAGCAUUUUUCUCUAAAACCAAUGGCCGCACAGUAAAAUGUGGAAGAAGGCAUGCAAUGAAAGUUGUACAAAGCCUCUAAUGUAAAAGAAAGAGCUACUAUUCCACGGGACUCAUUUGACCUACCAGCCACAUAGGAAAGUAUAGAUCAAGAAAUUCUUUCACCAAAGUCAAGUAUCGGUCUGCAGAUACAGAUAUGAACACAUACAUGUAUACAUGAAACAAAUAGUAUUGCAUAGAACCAAAUAUUCAUUUCAACACUAUAAAGAAGGUUCUCGUAUCGAUCAUAAUCUAUCUCAAGAAGGGCAUAUCUUUCUAGUUGAAAAGACACUUAAGCUUCUAGACAGAAAAUAAAGACGAUAGAGUUAAAUACUAUUAAGCAGAUACUUCUAAUAACUAUGAACAAUUGCACUAUCUCUAAUACAUUAAUGAAAACAUAUUCUUACAUACCUCCAGCUGGGAACAGCCAUUAAGCAGUUCUUCUAGAUCAGAAAAGCAGAUUGAGAUCCCUCUGCGCUCCGCAAGAGAGUUUACAGAAAGUGUCCUGAUGUUUGAUCAAGCAAAAAGAAAGUAUCAAUAUAGACGAACCAGAACGUUGUUUUCCUCCAAAAAAAGCCGAAAAGACAAUUAUGAUGAAAAGAUUAUUUUCUAAGGGUCACCGUUCUGUUAUACUUCAGAUAAAAGUGUACAAUAUUAAAGGACUAUUCUUUAUUCUUCGCCCCUAUAAAGAGAAGAUUACCUCCACCACUAUGCAUUACACACAACUGUACAAGAUGAGAUCCAUGCACAUAUUGCUUAGUUGCAUGUAAUUCGUCAUGAUGCUGAUUGGUGGAGGAGAUAUCCUCUGCAUUAUAUAAAGGUCGAGGUUUCAUUUUAUAUCCAAUAUGGGAACUAUUAUUCUUGAUAUUACUAACAUCUAGCAGGCCCUUUUUGAGUAAGUAUGGUGGAGUCGGAAUUACAUUAAGAGGCCUUCUCAAUACUUAAUUUACACUCAAAAUAGUCGAAACUUAGGGUGCAUAUGACACUUCAAGUUUCUGCUGCAAUUAUUUACAUUUCAUACAACCGAGAACUAUAGAUCGCAGCAAAGCAAGUCACCGAUAAAAAGAAUUUAAGAAUUCAACAUUGGAUUUAUCGUCACCUGAUAUCGCGGCACUUGUUUCCGAGUUCGGCGAGAAGCCUCCCGCUGAUGUUCUCGCAGUUAAGGAGGCAGAUCUCGUGGAGCGACGGCCUCGCGAGGUACCCAAUCGACGAGUCGUCGAGGCGGCUACAGUCGAGGCGGAGGCUCCGGAGGUACGGAUUCGGCGGGAGAAGCGGCCUCAGCAGGUCCAGCGUGGGCGCGAUCUCCUGAAACCCUAACCCUAAUUUAGCCCCCCACAAAAAAAGGCCGAAUCGCCUAGUAAGCAUGGGAAAUCGAAGGACCGAGAACGUACAAGGAGGUGGACGGAGGGAAGGAAGGAGAGGGUGUGGGAGGCGCAGGCGCGGAGGGAGCGGCACGCGGCGGCGGCGGUGACGAGGGAGCGCACGUCGAGCUUGGAGAGGAUCGUCGCCAUUACGGUGGAGGGGAGGUAGUGCUCGAUCUCCGGGGGCGAAGGAUCUCCUCCUCCUCCGCCGCCGCCGCCACCGCUUCGCCGGAGCAUCGCAACGCCUCCUUGGGAUUCCCCGACCAUUGUUAGUGCGCGCGAUAGAGAGAGAGGGGAAGUAGGGAGAUGAAAGGGAGUUAUUAAUUAGGAGGUGACAUCGUCAUUGUGACUGUUGCUGCUUCCGCGAAGCUUCGCGUUUGCUUUUUUUUGGCGCUGGUGCUAGGGCUAGCAAAUGAGCGGCCGACUCGCGUUCGGCUCGGCUUGCCGAGCUCGACCAAAAAUUAAACGAGCCGAGCUUGAACAAAUGAGAAAGCUUGAAAUUUAUUUUAAGUCUACCUUGAGUAUUAGUCCACUAACUCAAAUUAAGCUCAAAAAAACUCUAUAAUAUAUAUAUGGCCAAUUUGCAUAAAAAAUCCACUAGUUUUGGGCUUUUGCAAAACCGGGCCACCUUUUUCGUUUUUGCAGAUUCGGUCCACUUUUUUAGCAACCUGACCAAAAUACCCUUGUACCUUUUUCUCUCUCCUCUUUUUUUUCUCUCGUUCUUUUUUUUUUUUCUUUUACAGGAGAGCGGCGAAGGCAGAAACGCCACACCCCCUGCCCCGGCGACGUCGCCCUCGCCCGCUCCGGCGACGNNNNNNNNNNNNNNNNNNNNNNNNNNNNNNNNNNNNNNNNNNNNNNNNNNNNNNNNNNNNNNNNNNNNNNNNNNNNNNNNNNNNNNNNNNNNNNNNNNNNNNNNNNNNNNNNNNNNNNNNNNNNNNNNNNNNNNNNNNNNNNNNNNNNNNNNNNNNNNNNNNNNNNNNNNNNNNNNNNNNNNNNNNNNNNNNNNNNNNNNNNNNNNNNNNNNNNNNNNNNNNNNNNNNNNNNNNNNNNNNNNNNNNNNNNNNNNNNNNNNNNNNNNNNNNNNNNNNNNNNNNNNNNNNNNNNNNNNNNNNNNNNNNNNNNNNNNNNNNNNNNNNNNNNNNNNNNNNNNNNNNNNNNNNNNNNNNNNNNNNNNNNNNNNNNNNNNNNNNNNNNNNNNNNNNNNNNNNNNNNNNNNNNNNNNNNNNNNNNNNNNNNNNNNNNNNNNNNNNNNNNNNNNNNNNNNNNNNNNNNNNNNNNNNNNNNNNNNNNNNNNNNNNNNNNNNNNNNNNNNNNNNNNNNNNNNNNNNNNNNNNNNNNNNNNNNNNNNNNNNNNNNNNNNNNNNNNNNNNNNNNNNNNNNNNNNNNNNNNNNNNNNNNNNNNNNNNNNNNNNNNNNNNNNNNNNNNNNNNNNNNNNNNNNNNNNNNNNNNNNNNNNNNNNNNNNNNNNNNNNNNNNNNNNNNNNNNNNNNNNNNNNNNNNNNNNNNNNNNNNNNNNNNNNNNNNNNNNNNNNNNNNNNNNNNNNNNNNNNNNNNNNNNNNNNNNNNNNNNNNNNNNNNNNNNNNNNNNNNNNNNNNNNNNNNNNNNNNNNNNNNNNNNNNNNNNNNNNNNNNNNNNNNNNNNNNNNNNNNNNNNNNNNNNNNNNNNNNNNNNNNNNNNNNNNNNNNNNNNNNNNNNNNNNNNNNNNNNNNNNNNNNNNNNNNNNNNNNNNNNNNNNNNNNNNNNNNNNNNNNNNNNNNNNNNNNNNNNNNNNNNNNNNNNNNNNNNNNNNNNNNNNNNNNNNNNNNNNNNNNNNNNNNNNNNNNNNNNNNNNNNNNNNNNNNNNNNNNNNNNNNNNNNNNNNNNNNNNNNNNNNNNNNNNNNNNNNNNNNNNNNNNNNNNNNNNNNNNNNNGCAGCGGCGACGGGCGAUGGUGUAAUGGUGCACCAUUACACCAUUAAUGGUGUAAUGGUGUAAUUACACCAUUAAUGGUGGCAGCGAAGAGCCGGGCCAGAGGGACGACGCGGUUGAUGAGGUAUCGACGAGGCACGGCAGAGCAGGCCCGGUCGGCGCUGACGGCGAGCGUGAAGCGGGCGAGCUCCCGGGGCUGCGGCGGACGGCGGCGAGGUAGCAAUUUCCUGUAGGAUGAAGAAAAAGAAGAAGAGGAGGAAAAAGAAAAAGAAAAGAAAAGAAAAGAAGAAGAAGAAGAGGGAAAAAAAAAGGUGCUCCAACAGGAGGAUAAAGAAGAAGAAAAAGAAAAAGAGAAGAAAAUAUUGCUAGGAUGAAGAAGAACAAGAAGAGGAGGAAAAAGAAAAAGAAAAAGAAAAGAAAAGAAAAGAAAAGAAAAGAAGAAGAAGAAGAAGAGGGAAAAAAACAAAGGUGCUCCAGCAGGAGGAAGAAGAAGAAGAAAAAAAAAGAGAAGAAAAAAUUGCUCCGCCUGGCCUUCACCUUUUUUUUCCGGCGGAAAAAAAAAAGAACGAGAGAACGAAGAGGAGAGAGAAAGAGGAAAGAGAAAAAGUAAUAAGGGUAUUUUGGUCAGUUUGCUGAAAAAGCGGACCGAAUCUGCAAAAACGAAAAAGGUGACCUGAUUUUGCAAAAGUUCAAAAUAAGUGGAUUUUUUAUGCAAAUUGGCCUAUAUAUAUAUAUAUAUAUAUAUAUANNNNNNNNNNNNNNNNNNNNNNNNNNNNNNNNNNNNNNNNNNNNNNNNNNNNNNNNNNNNNNNNNNNNNNNNNNNNNNNNNNNNNNNNNNNNNNNNNNNNNNNNNNNNNNNNNNNNNNNNNNNNNNNNNNNNNNNNNNNNNNNNNNNNNNNNNNNNNNNNNNNNNNNNNNNNNNNNNNNNNNNNNNNNNNNNNNNNNNNNNNNNNNNNNNNNNNNNNNNNNNNNNNNNNNNNNNNNNNNNNNNNNNNNNNNNNNNNNNNNNNNNNNNNNNNNNNNNNNNNNNNNNNNNNNNNNNNNNNNNNNNNNNNNNNNNNNNNNNNNNNNNNNNNNNNNNNNNNNNNNNNNNNNNNNNNNNNNNNNNNNNNNNNNNNNNNNNNNNNNNNNNNNNNNNNNNNNNNNNNNNNNNNNNNNNNNNNNNNNNNNNNNNNNNNNNNNNNNNNNNNNNNNNNNNNNNNNNNNNNNNNNNNNNNNNNNNNNNNNNNNNNNNNNNNNNNNNNNNNNNNNNNNNNNNNNNNNNNNNNNNNNNNNNNNNNNNNNNNNNNNNNNNNNNNNNNNNNNNNNNNNNNNNNNNNNNNNNNNNNNNNNNNNNNNNNNNNNNNNNNNNNNNNNNNNNNNNNNNNNNNNNNNNNNNNNNNNNNNNNNNNNNNNNNNNNNNNNNNNNNNNNNNNNNNNNNNNNNNNNNNNNNNNNNNNNNNNNNNNNNNNNNNNNNNNNNNNNNNNNNNNNNNNNNNNNNNNNNNNNNNNNNNNNNNNNNNNNNNNNNNNNNNNNNNNNNNNNNNNNNNNNNNNNNNNNNNNNNNNNNNNNNNNNNNNNNNNNNNNNNNNNNNNNNNNNNNNNNNNNNNNNNNNNNNNNNNNNNNNNNNNNNNNNNNNNNNNNNNNNNNNNNNNNNNNNNNNNNNNNNNNNNNNNNNNNNNNNNNNNNNNNNNNNNNNNNNNNNNNNNNNNNNNNNNNNNNNNNNNNNNNNNNNNNNNNNNNNNNNNNNNNNNNNNNNNNNNNNNNNNNNNNNNNNNNNNNNNNNNNNNNNNNNNNNNNNNNNNNNNNNNNNNNNNNNNNNNNNNNNNNNNNNNNNNNNNNNNNNNNNNNNNNNNNNNNNNNNNNNNNNNNNNNNNNNNNNNNNNNNNNNNNNNNNNNNNNNNNNNNNNNNNNNNNNNNNNNNNNNNNNNNNNNNNNNNNNNNNNNNNNNNNNNNNNNNNNNNNNNNNNNNNNNNNNNNNNNNNNNNNNNNNNNNNNNNNNNNNNNNNNNNNNNNNNNNNNNNNNNNNNNNNNNNNNNNNNNNNNNNNNNNNNNNNNNNNNNNNNNNNNNNNNNNNNNNNNNNNNNNNNNNNNNNNNNNNNNNNNNNNNNNNNNNNNNNNNNNNNNNNNNNNNNNNNNNNNNNNNNNNNNNNNNNNNNNNNNNNNNNNNNNNNNNNNNNNNNNNNNNNNNNNNNNNNNNNNNNNNNNNNNNNNNNNNNNNNNNNNNNNNNNNNNNNNNNNNNNNNNNNNNNNNNNNNNNNNNNNNNNNNNNNNNNNNNNNNNNNNNNNNNNNNNNNNNNNNNNNNNNNNNNNNNNNNNNNNNNNNNNNNNNNNNNNNNNNNNNNNNNNNNNNNNNNNNNNNNNNNNNNNNNNNNNNNNNNNNNNNNNNNNNNNNNNNNNNNNNNNNNNNNNNNNNNNNNNNNNNNNNNNNNNNNNNNNNNNNNNNNNNNNNNNNNNNNNNNNNNNNNNNNNNNNNNNNNNNNNNNNNNNNNNNNNNNNNNNNNNNNNNNNNNNNNNNNNNNNNNNNNNNNNNNNNNNNNNNNNNNNNNNNNNNNNNNNNNNNNNNNNNNNNNNNNNNNNNNNNNNNNNNNNNNNNNNNNNNNNNNNNNNNNNNNNNNNNNNNNNNNNNNNNNNNNNNNNNNNNNNNNNNNNNNNNNNNNNNNNNNNNNNNNNNNNNNNNNNNNNNNNNNNNNNNNNNNNNNNNNNNNNNNNNNNNNNNNNNNNNNNNNNNNNNNNNNNNNNNNNNNNNNNNNNNNNNNNNNNNNNNNNNNNNNNNNNNNNNNNNNNNNNNNNNNNNNNNNNNNNNNNNNNNNNNNNNNNNNNNNNNNNNNNNNNNNNNNNNNNNNNNNNNNNNNNNNNNNNNNNNNNNNNNNNNNNNNNNNNNNNNNNNNNNNNNNNNNNNNNNNNNNNNNNNNNNNNNNNNNNNNNNNNNNNNNNNNNNNNNNNNNNNNNNNNNNNNNNNNNNNNNNNNNNNNNNNNNNNNNNNNNNNNNNNNNNNNNNNNNNNNNNNNNNNNNNNNNNNNNNNNNNNNNNNNNNNNNNNNNNNNNNNNNNNNNNNNNNNNNNNNNNNNNNNNNNNNNNNNNNNNNNNNNNNNNNNNNNNNNNNNNNNNNNNNNNNNNNNNNNNNNNNNNNNNNNNNNNNNNNNNNNNNNNNNNNNNNNNNNNNNNNNNNNNNNNNNNNNNNNNNNNNNNNNNNNNNNNNNNNNNNNNNNNNNNNNNNNNNNNNNNNNNNNNNNNNNNNNNNNNNNNNNNNNNNNNNNNNNNNNNNNNNNNNNNNNNNNNNNNNNNNNNNNNNNNNNNNNNNNNNNNNNNNNNNNNNNNNNNNNNNNNNNNNNNNNNNNNNNNNNNNNNNNNNNNNNNNNNNNNNNNNNNNNNNNNNNNNNNNNNNNNNNNNNNNNNNNNNNNNNNNNNNCCAAUACUCAUAAUAGUAUAGUAGCCACGGCCUAUAUAUAUAUAUAUAUAUAUAUAUAUAUAUAUAUAUAUAUAUAUAAUAUUUUAAUUAUGUAUAUACUGAGUAAGUAAUCUAAGUUUAGUUAAAAUUGGACCAAUAUUGUUGGUCCAUAAAAAUAAACUUAAUAGACAAACAAAAGAACAAAAUUCAACUAAAUUUACACUUUUUCUCUUUUUUACUUUCACAAAGUUUUAAAUUUCUAAUCUCUUUUUCUCUUUCUUUUUCUCUAUCUCUCACCCCAAGUGGCCAAGCCUCAGGCUUGUGCUUGAAAAAAUAUAUAGAAUAUUUUUAAAAUAAAAAAUUAUUGUUUAUAUAAAAUUUUAAUUUUAGUUAUAUAUGAUUGGAUAGUUUAAUCCAAUAUUUGUAUAUAUAAUUUAUUUAUUUUUUGACUGUAUAAAUAAAAAGAAAUAGUAUGGAGAUUGAAAGUGGAAGAGAAAAUAUAUGAGGCUGAAAAGAUUAGAUAUUCAACACAUAAGUUAUUUUUCUUCAUAUUAUAAUACCGUAUUUCAUAUAAUUAUUUUAUACUUUGAACUAUUAGGCAUACUUUUAUAUCAAAUUAUAGAUAAUAUUUUAUAUAAAUUAAAUUAUUGAUCGUAUGAUGUUGAAAAUUUUAAGCGGCUCGUUUAGGGAUUGAGCUCGCUCGACUUCAAAUUAGGCUCACUCGAGUUUGGCUCGAAUUAAUUUCAAAUCAAGCUUGAGCUCAAAUUUAGGCUUGAAAUUAAUUUCAAGUCGAGUUUGAACCGAAAUAAGCUCGCUCGAGCUCAGCUCAUUUCCCCUAGGGGCAUGUUUGUUUUAACGUAAGUAAAUUUGGGGUGGAAGUGGACUUUGGGUUGAAGUGGAGUUGGGGUGAAAAUUAAUUCAUUUCUGCUGUUUGUUUCUAACUGUGGAAGUGCAGUUCUGCGAGUUCUGUUAUUUGUUUGGUAGGAAGUAGAUGGCGUAAAAAGUGUAGCUCUCCACCCCCGGUAUACUUACCUCCGAAGUGAUAUCAUUGUCUAUUUUGUAACUUAGUGAAUAAUAAAUUGUAAUAAAUAAAAAUUAAUAUAAUUAGAUAUGUAUAUAAUUAUAUAUAUGUAUAAUUAUAAAAUAAAAUUUUAAAAAAUUAUAUUAUUUGUUUGCAUAUAAAUUAUAAUAAUGCAACAAAUAAAAUUCUAAAGUUAAAAAAUUAUUAACAUUUAACAAAUUUAUUUUUCAUAAUUUUCUAAAUAUACAAAUUAAAUAAAAAAUAUAUUAAAAUUUACCUAACCAAAUUUGAUCAUAUUUUAGACAUGAUCAAAUUUUCUUUUGUGGUGUCUACUGAGAAAAAAAAAAAUGGUGAUGUGGAGUUGGGUCGGGACUCGGGAGAGAAAAGGGUAGAGAAGAGGGUAACCCUAACACAUUAAUUCCCACUCUUGCCUCUUUUCACCUCACCGAAAUUGACUUCGCCCCAUAGGAGGGCGAAGUCAAUUUUCUUAUUUUGUGUGAACUAGAUUUUCGGGCGUAAUAAAAUUACGGUGAACCAAACAGCGGAAGUGGUCUGUUUUCACCGAAAAUCACUUCCUCCUUCCCACUUCCAUCCCACUUCCGUUGAAACAAACAAGCCCUAGGUGGUGCUGCGGUAUCUUCGGGGUUGUUAGACCUGGACUUUCACGGACUGGGUCGUAACGGCGCGGACGGAUUGAGAUUAGAGAUUUACUUGUAUCUAGUUUGGUUCGGAUCGGAUUAAGCCGAACGUAGAAACUUCGCAACAGACCAAGAAUUGAAUCCAAUCAGAUCUCAGUGAGAAGGGAGGACCCGAAUCCAAUUCGGGGUAAAAUUACCGUUUCAUUCAUUUUUGGCAAACAUUUGGUAAGAGUCUCGACUUCCGAUGUAAUGCAUUUACAAAUUUAACAAUGUAAAAUAAUUUAAAUCUAAUAUUUUUUUUAUUUUUUAUUUUUACUAUUUAGAGUAAGAUUAGUAAAUCUAUUCUUAAAUACAAGUUUUUUAUCAUUAUUUUUUGUAAAAUUUUUAUUUUCAAUCGUUUAUUUUUAGACUACUCGUUUAAUCGAUAAAUGCUAUUGAAAAAUUAUAAAAUAUAGUUUUCAAUUAAUGUAGAUCUAGUCUAAUAAAAUCGAUCAUUGAUUUGAAAGCGUAUCAUCAAAAAUAAUUUGGUAACAAAGAGGCUUCCGUGCUACUAGCCGGAUUAUAUACGUGUGUGUGUGUGUGUGUGUGUGUGUGUGUGUGUGUGUGUGUGUGUGAAUUUGUCAACUAAUGAUGCAAGGAAUGGAAGCAUGCUCAAUUUUUUUUAUUAGAUAAAAAGAUAAUAGACUAUCUGCUUUAUUUCUUUAAAAAAAUAUAUACUUAUCUAGAAAUGUAAAAUAAUUAGAUUUUGGACUAAAAUUAUGAAUAUCAACCAUCCAAUCUUUACAGCCGCGAGCUCGUUUUGUUUAAAAUGUCAAAAUGUAAAGAACUCAUUUUAGUUUAGUAUGUCAAUAAAAACUUAGGCUAUGUUUGAAGGUUGGAAUAAGUCACCCAAUAAUAACUUAUUCGGUAUAAGUUUUUUAUUAAUGUAAUUGUAGAAAAAAAAUUUUAAUUUUUGCUUCUUAAAAAACUUUGAUAUUCAGGAUUUAGAUUCAGUUUGGUAUUUAGACGCACUACAACAUAAUUAGGUUAUGGGGACACAUGUUUGAGACACUUUUGAGUAAGUGUCCCAUUUAUACUAAAACUUAAAAAAAAACAUCUGCUAAUGCCUAAAUAUAAAGCCCAAUCCAACCAAAAAUAAAAAAUUACUCUACUCAAUCCACCACACCCAGUCCAUUUGGUCCGAUUACAAACAGAAAAGAAAAAAAAAAAGAAAAAUCAAUUACCAUCUUUUCUUCUCUCUUCACUCAAUCCACUGAAAUUCUAGACGAAGAGCCUUUCCUGUCGUCCUCCUCCGCCAUCGCAGCCAACAAGAUAGAGUUUUGGCGGUUGCUAAAUGCUUAAAUAAGUAUAGGUAAAUUAGCAGCACUCUUUUAGGUUAUAGCGACACUCUUUAACUGUCAUUAUAUACCUAGCGACCCCACAUAUAGCAACACUUUUUAAAAGUGUCGGUAAUUUUAGCAGUAUUUUUUUGACAUGUAUCUAUAUUUAAAAGUAUCGCUAUAGACCGUUUUUUUUGUAGUGACGCAUUCAAGACUAUUAGAUAAAAUGAAGUUGAGUUGGGAUAAAAUAUAUUAUAGCUAACUCAUCGCGAUAUCUGGUAUAGAAACAAACAAGGUAUUAAAUUUUUAAUUAAUUUUGAAAAUCAGUCAUCAAAUUUCUAACCAAUUAUGAACUCAUAUUGUUUAAAAUAUAUAAAAUAAAAUGUCAAUGAAAACUUUUUAGUGUUGGCAGCGGGAUUUGAACCCAAACCCCCUUCCCGGACCAAAAGCUUAAUCUGGCGCUUAAGACCAAUGUUGUGCCACUUGUGUUUCUAAUAUUUAUUUUAGUCUUUUUUCUUCUUUUUUUUUUGGAAGAUAAAUAGCACGCUAUCCAGUUCGUUUAUUUUAUUUAAAAAUAAAUUUAGCUGAAAAUAUGAAUCAACUAAGAUUCGAAUUUGGAUCUCGGGUAUCAACCACCAAACUUUUUGUCACUUACUUUAUAGACGGUCGGUUAUUUUAGUCAAAUUUGUUAAAAGAGAUUAUUAUGUAAAAAUUUAAUUUUCAGUGAACACCUGAUCAAUUUUUCAUUCAUUUGCUACCCCUUCGCCUCUAUACAGACAAUACCCUCGAUCCCAUGCUGAGCUAGAUAUCUACAAACUCCCUUAAUGCAGGUCACAAUCACAUCCCCAACAUUUAUUCCCCAAUAACAAGGCGCUUGCAUGUCCCCUCGCAAUCAAUCGCUCUCUCUUCACAUGCUACAGUUCCCAUGAAUAGGUGAGAGGUGAGAACUCACUCAUGAGUAGCAAAGGCAUGGAGCUAAAUCCAAAGCAGUGAUGCAGAAUAUGCAACGGUAACGAAGACCUGCACACUAUCAAUAAAUUCUGGCCAAGUUCACAAGAAAACCGGGAUCUUAUUUAUUGCCCAAACUACUUUUUCUUUGCUGCAGGUACUGGAGGGAGAGAAACAAACACAGUUUUCCAUUAAUGCUGGAGCUUGUCUUUAAAGUUUUGUAGCUAGGCAUUUUGAACAUGAACAUGGUCCAUCCUACAUGCAGAUUAAGCUCCUUAAAUUCAAGGGAGAGAGAUUCCCUACACCCACCACUCUCUCCCUCUCUAUGCUAUAUAUACAUGCCAUUGCCGUUUGGUGCCCAUAUAUUUUUCCUUCUCUCCAUCUCUCUAUUGAUACGUAUACAAUUGAAGAAGACGAGUGCUAAGAAUGAAAUGCUACUGCGAUGUUGGUUCGACUCACUCAGGACGUGCUACUGAUCUAAUGAGAGCGGUGUUCUGAUUGAGUCGUGCCAAUAUCUUAGUAUUCUUUCAUAUCAUGCUAUGGCCUUAAUUUCUCCCUUCUUGUAACUAACUACCAGAAAACUUCAGAGGUAUGUUUUGAUUCUUGUCUGAUGUUUCAUUAUUGUUUUUUUUUUUAAAAAAAAGAAGGUAGCAAGUUAUCAGUUUUAUUCAUUUAGUUUUAGAAUGAACUCAGCUACAAAUAUGAAAUAAUUUAGCUUUGAACUUGGAAUAUUGAAUACCAACCAUCAAAUUCUUAAUCAAUUGUGCUAGAUAUAUAUAUGGCCGAUUACUAUCCUAUUUAUUAGUACAUCAUUUGAAAAACUCAAGGCUUUCAGUGUUUCCCAUGCAUCCACAACAUACCAUUGUUUUACUACUACAAACAUAAUUGCAAGUCAACUACUGCAGCUCACUUGUACCUGGGAAAAUUUUACUACCUAGUCCAUUUGUCCUGGUUAUGUUUCUUCAAAAUUUUCGGUUUUUUUUUUUACUAGAAAAUAUUUAGUGAUCGAUUACACAAUUUUAAAUACAGAGCAUAAUUAAACUCAUAUUCUUAAUUUUCAAUAGAAUAUCACAAUGCUAGCGAUUCUUGUCGAAAUCUAUCCUUUACCUCGUCUUGUUUUGCUUUAAUCAUAAACAAUUGAAAGAUCCUGCUAAACUAAAGUUGACGGAGGUUCUCUUCCAGGCGUGAGCUCUCUUUUGUUUAUUAUAUUUUUUUUUCGAAUAAUUAAUAGCAAAUACCCUUUCAUUUCCCCCCAGAAGUAUACAUUGAUGGAUGAAAUGUAGAUCACCAUUUCCUAAUACAUUAUUCGAUGUGUCUCUAUGGGUUCACUGGAACCAAACAUUUUCAUGUAUGUGUAGUGUAGUGCAGGAAAAUGACUAUAUAUGAGGGUUGCUGAAGAGUAGUAACUGUACAUAAAUGAGAGCAGGUAAAAUUCAAUACAAUGAGCAUUGUCAGUGGCCGGGCAUUAACUUAUUGCACUCAGAUGCUCUUCUUUGUAUAGUCAGACAAAGAUUCCCUCGUUCUUUGCUCCAAUCGACCUACGUAUAGCAACAUUUAUACAACUAGAAUAUAAUUCACAGAUAAGAAAUUACGUUUUAAUGCAGUUAUGAUAUUAAAUAUUUCUACGAGGAUUGCGCGAAUAAGUUAUCUUCUUCCAGUAUUCAGGUGAUGUACCUUGGUUAUUUGAUUUUGGAAGGUGCAUCGAGAGUGAGGUAUAUAUCCAAGUGAAACAACUAUGACUCGGAGCUUGACCUUAUUCUUGUUCUCAAUUAGGUGUGAAAGGUAUUGCUCAAAGCACUUGGUGAUAGUAUAUAUGUAGCAACACUUGUUUAAUUCUUGCUUCAGCUUCAACGUUGUUGUAUCUAUGUAAUAACAGCCCUUCAUUUUAUUCGCUAAACAAAAUAGAAAUUAAUUUAAGUCACUCAUCUGCAAAGUUUAUUAGAUUGAACUACCACAAAGCAAAGGAAAGAGAAGCGCAAUGAUAGAACAUGCAAGAAAAGCAUCAUCUCGAGAACAAUAAGGUUUCAUUAAAUUAAAUAAAUUCAUUCACAUCUCAGAACAUUAUAAGACUUGAGAAAAAAACCGGUCGAAAAGCUUAAUACUUUCCGUACUUAGGCCAACACAGAAGCAUCACCAAACAUCUCCUAAAGAUGUAGAACCUCGACCUGUGCUCCUUCGCCACCGCGAGGCACCGCAUCUUAUCCGUCACCGAUCCCUCCGCCCGCUCCUCAACUCCUCCUCUCUUCCUCGACCCACACUGACCCAUCUCAAGCAAUCCUAAAUAUCACACAAAGAAAGGGUUUUUUUUUUUUUUUCCGUAGCCUAAGUGGCUUUGCAUUUUGCACGCUUGUCAUGGCCUGGCUCGGUUUGGUUUAUGCGGCUCCUUUCUCGUUAUAACUGUUCUCAGUUCAAAAUAAUUGACGGUCCUGAUCGCACCUGGAACCGAGGGGCUUCCACGGCUUGCCACGUGGACUAUUCUGAUCUGGUGGUGGAAAAAACCGUUUUGCAGUGGUUAGGCCGGUUUGCAUUUCUUUGACUCUAUAUACAUGCCUUUCACAUUUUAAAUUUACAAUUUAAAAUUACAAACCAUCUGAUUCUUUUUAAUAAAAAUAAAAAAUUCAAUAUAUAAAAUAAUUGGAAACAAGAGGACAAAGUUAAAAGGCUAAAGCGGACAUGGGGAGUUAAUGGGCCGUUGGGGCCCUGGGCCUGAUUUUCGGCCCAAGACCAGUAAUCAAUGCCCAAAUCAUAUCUAAACAUCUAAACCUUUACAUUAACUCUCCAAAGUUUUGGCUUAUCAUGUAACAUCCAGGUAUAAAAAGCUUAAUUAGACAAAAUAUCAAAUUUUGAAUACUACGAGCAAUAUAUUUGACAAUAAUCGCAUGAUCUAUUUAAACAGAGGGCCUCAAUUACUGCUCUUAAAUGAAAACAAAGAACUCAAAUUGUAUAUAAUGCAUGUAUACAAUUUUCGCUAGAAACUUUAGGGAGAAUACCUUUUUUGAACAAAAUGAAAACGAGCCUAACAAGAGCCAAGAGAUAUAUAAGAAAAUAGAAGCUAACAAGUACAAAUUCCUGGCAGUUAAACAGGGAGAGAGAUUUGAUUAGGGAGAACAAUUUCUCAUUCCUUAACAUUUAAAAUUUGUAAAAAAUAGUUUAUCAUCACAGAACGGAUAAUCGCAUGCGCAUGAACGCACUUGAGAUUAAUGACACCUUGUUACAAGAGCAUUACUGAGCUGCCACAAAUCUUGCAAUUUUCAAUCUAAGUAGUUCAGCAUAAUAGUCAUGUGAAGCUACAAGAUAAAACGGUAAAAAGGUUUGCACCUUUUGGUUUCUUAUACUUUACAGAUCAGUAGCCUACAUGUCCCCUAACCAUUUCUAGCAAUGGAAUUUUGAUUGAUUUGGAACAGAGAACAUAUGUACUUUUUAAUUUAUUAUCCUUGAAAAGUACCUAGAGCAAUUGUCUGAUAUAGAAACCCGUGUUUACGAAGAACUUAUUCCGAAGAUGGUGGUGCUGUUUAUUAAUCAGAAGAAAUGCUACAUAUGGUAAAAUCAUGUGAAUAGCUUCGUUUCUGCGGCAAAAACGAAAACUCUAAACUGAAGCUUUUGGUUUAGGCAUCGAAAAAACACUUCUAAUUUGUAAAUUCCGUUGCAGGAAGAGCAAUGCAAACGGUACCAAAAGAUACUACAAUCCGCGAAAAAGGAACAAAUUAAGCAUCCGUUGUUUAGCACGAUGCUUACAACAAAUGAGUCAGCUCUAGUCAUUAAUUCAAGCCCAUCUCUCAAUUCUCGCACCCAAAACAAGAGCUUCUUCAAGUUCUCCCCCACUGCGGCUUCUCUUCUUCUAGCUCCGAACUCCUAACUAAAGAGACCUCCCGCCGUAACCUGCAUUCCUGAAGAGAGCUUGCUUUAUCUCUUCAGAGCUGAUGAGCUCUGUUUGCUCCUUGUCCUAAUAACCACCAUAAGCAUUAACAAAAACAAAAGAAAUAAAUAAACAAACAGCUCCUGAAAUAGAGAGAUCGAUGUUGCAGCUAAUCUUACUUCCAAGCAAGAAGCUUGCAUCCCAAAAUCACUGAAGCAGCUCGCAACACACUGAUGGAUCUCCAAACCGAGAGCAUCCAGCGUGCUCACCAUCGAAAGCAACAACCCGGGCUUCGCCGCGCAGCAAACCUCUACGCGGGUGUCCCCCUCUCUCCUCUCGACAUCGAACUGCAUGCGACGGCCUUCACUCGAUCGUUACAGGAACAAAAGGAUUUACUAAACUGACGAUCGAUCGAGAGCAACACGGCCGGCAGAUUAAUUUAUUUACCUUGGUGGAGCUCCUCAUGAGCGUCGUCUCACUCGGAUUCAGCUGAUCCUUCAAGGCACCUAACUGAUUCGGCCGGUUCCGCGGAUCGGACUCGGCCUCGGCCUCCUCUUGCAGGGCUUUGAUCCGUGCCAUGAGCUCUUUGAUGUAAUCGAUUGUGUCUCCGAGGAUGGACGUUCUAUCCAUCUACAAAUUGAUAGGCCGGACGAGUAUGUGAGCAUAUAUAUAUAUAUAUAUAUAAGGCCACGUCCGAACAGGCACUUUUAGUCAUAUUAACAUUACCUUGCUGAUCUUGGGCACGACGGAUCGGAGCAUGGAGAGCCGAUCGUUGAGCCGCUUUCUCCGCCGCCUCUCCGCCAUCAGGUUCUUGGAAGGCAGGCCGUCCGCCUUCUUCGGCCUGGCGUUCUUUCUCUCGAGGCAAGAGCUGGCGGCGAGCAUCAGCGGCUCCGGCGUGCCGGCCGACUGCUUCUGCUCGGCCUUGCAGAUAUUCCGACCGCCUCCGGAGGCGCCGCCGCAGCUCAUCUCCUCGUGGAUGGCAGCAUGCGCCGCCGCCGCCGCCGCCGCCGCCGCCGCCGGCGGUGCCGACGAGCCGCACAGGCCGGCGGCAGCAAACGGGCUGCAGACUUCGCUGAGGCAAUCGAAGUUGGGCUCCGGCGCAAACUGCGGUCCGCCGAAGCAGUUCAGUCUGGCGGUCCCUUCNUCGAGACUCUUCCCUCUGCACCCUCUGCAUGGGCCGGCCUUACUCGCUCGAUGAGAAGACGUCGCUUCCCUGGCGGUCUGACUUGACGAAGCCGCCUGGCGUCAAACGCGGCCUCAAGAGCUCCUGUAAGAAGAAGCUUUCCUCGUCGAGCUCCAUUAUUUCCUCUAGACCACUCUCUCUCUCUCUCUCUCUCUCUCUUUAUCUCUCUAUUUCUCUAUUUCUCUUUUGCAGCUUCACACUUGUAACAGUACUGCCGAGGCAGAAACAAAGGGGAACUAUACCAAAGGAAUGAAUCGGGGAAUGAUAUACAGUGAAAUGGCACCAGAGGGAGAAUUAAUUGUAUAUAAAAAGGGCUUGUUAAGGAACAAUUAUUCCUUGUAAGGGAUGCAAAUAAAUUAAGAAUGCAUUAAGGUAUGUGCUGGACGCAUUAGAACCUACGCAGCCUAAGAUUGAGAUGGAAUCUCACCAAUUUUUUAAUCCCCCCUCUCUCUCUCCUUCUUCUUUUCCUUUUUUUAAUAUCUCUCUCUCUCUCUCUCUCUCUCUCUCUAUAUAUAUAUAUAUAUAUAUAUUUUGAAGUUUUGUCAAUGAUCUCAAAUCUUUUUCACCGAAAUCUGCAACCAAAAAGGCUGAGGUUAUUUAAUUCGCGAGUCCUGAAAGCUUUGACUCGCAGGUGUGCCGGAACAGAGUAAAGAUGCGAGAUGUAGGUGCUUAUUAUUAACCUAUAGAGUACUUACGUAAUAAAAUAAAAAAAAAUUACUUAGUCUACAACAAAUAUAAAAAAAGAAAGAAAAAGUUGUAAUUUCCAUAAUCAUUAUCAAAACCUUAACGGUAGGAUUUAUCAAUUCCUUUUUAAUUUUUAACAAAAAAAUAUGUGAUAAGGCAUGUAAAAAAAUAUAGACUCUUGGAUAAAGAAGUUGUAGAUCGAAUUGUAAGAAAUAAGUGGUAGAAUCACUGAUGAACUAUUCUUUAUAAGAGAUCAAUUCGGCAAGUGCAUUAAUUUGCAGUCCACUUCUAAGAUAAACGCAGCAAUAGUAAUUAUAGUAUUAAUUUCGGCCAAUGAAAACACUAAGCUCCAGUCUCAGAUAAACAAAAAAAAAAAUUCAAAAUUCUCGUAUGUAAAAAAUUGUUAGCUUAACCGACCGUUCCUAGCGCAAGUGGCAAAAGGAUUUGGUGGUUGGUAUUCAAGACCCAAGUUCAAAUUGUAAUUAAUUCAUAUUUUUCUGCUAAAUUUAUUUCUAAAUAAAAUAAACGAAGCAUGCAGCAUGCAUGCUAUCUUUCUCUCUCAAAAAAAAAAAAAAUUUGUUAGCUUACUUCCAUUUAGUACUUUCAAUUAAUAUCAGUAAUCAAGUUUUCUUAAAUAGUUCUUAAUUAAUUUGAUAAUCUGAAUUGAAAAGACAUGGGAACAAACAAGAUCAUGGCAACCAUUCUUUGCAUACGGCAUAUUCGCCAUAGAAUUUUUGUUCCCUAAUAGAGUGUUGUUGUUGCCUUUCUAGUUACUUGUUAAACAAGGUUAUUGUACAUACAUCCCUUUCCUUAACCAGUCAUGGUCAAAAUUAAUUAAGCGAGUUAUUAAGCUUGCAGAAUACUAUAAUUAUUCAUUGAUGUGACAAGCAAAUGCGAAUAAAAUUGGUGUGUUAAUUAUGUGCCAGGUAGCUUAACUAAGGCGUGUGUUGUUGUGUAAAGUGUAAACUGAUUUGAUUGAUCUUUCCUGAUGAUAAUAAGAAGCAAUCCUGGCCCUACAAUGUGGUAUCAAAAUGCAGAUGAUGUAGAUAUAUAUAGUCGACAAAAAGCUUUGCCCCACAAUAUAUUAUUUAUUUUAUUUAUGUUUAUUUUGUUACGUUGUUGCUGUCUAAACAGCAGGAUAUGAUAAUCUUUGCUCGAACGUACCUUCCAAGUUGAGGGUAUUAAUUAGGUGUCUCUUAAAUUCCAAAAUGCAAUCCAACAUGUCUAGUUGUAGUCAAAUGGAUUUUAAAAUACUAUAGUGAAAUUUAAAAUCCUUCUUUGUCUAUAAUCACCGAUUGUCUGCGAAAGUUAAUUGACCAAACUGAAUCACUGAAACAUCAACUUUUUUUUUUUUAAUACAUAUUUUACUUUAUUUAUAAAGUUUGAUGAAUAUAUUAUUGUUUGUCGCCCAUCCAUUAGUACGUGAACAUAAUACUAACUAACCAUCUCAUCCUUUUUAAAUUCAACAGUUCAACUUCUAAUACUGACCGUCCCUAAAGCAAGUAGCAAAGGACUUGGUAGUUGAUACUCGUGACCCAAGUUCGAAUCCUAAUUGAUUUACAUUUUCAGCUAAAUUUAUGUCUAAACCUAUCUCUAAAAAAAAAACAGUUCAAUUUAUAAUAAAUACUCAGAUGCAUUAUAGUUGU
rnacentral:lncRNA from 1 species